rnacentral:lncRNA from 1 species
UGUAUAAGCAGUACAGGACAGUGAAGGACUCCUGCAGACUCAGGAACAUCAUAGAGGAGCUCCUCCAAGCAGGGGAAUGGAGGCUGAAGUUCUUCCCCAAACUGCUCCAGCGUCACCUCUGCAUCCGCUUCAAUGAACAUGACACCCUCCCCCGUGCAGUCCACCACCAGCUUCCUCCCGGCGCAUUCUCUGAGACGCCCCGCGAAGGGUAGUAGAACACCAGAGCCUUGGCAAUAGCCUCCCUGAUCACCUUCACGGGGUCUCUACUGGCCAUCAUCGCUGCGGUAAAACUGGAUGACAGGGAUUUGAAAGCGAAGACCCUCUUGAUCGUCGAUGUCAGAGAGGAGCUUGCAUUCCCGAGGAGUGGACUUCGCCGGACGGACCAGCUCAGGCUUUUGUCUGGUCACCCUGAAUGUCAGAGACUUUGAUCCAUUUUGUUGUCCACAAACAAAACUGCUACGCACGCAGUGAUUUGACCACCACCAACGAAUAUAUUUGCUCAGGCUCAGGCUUAGGAAAUGAAAGCACUAGUAAUGAGAAUGCUUUAAUUGUGCGUAUACAGAUAUAGAUAGUCUGACACAGGAGAAGAAAGAAAGAAGGUUUGGUAGUUCUGAGGAUGCCUUCCUUCCUUUCCAGCAUGGAUUUAUAUAGUACCACUGAGUGUAACAGUAGUCAUACAGGAGUUGAAGGAAAAAACACACAACAUGUCUAGUGCACUUACCACUUAAUUGGAUCUUAUUUGCAUGUACAUUUUCCUCAUCUUUUCCCACUUCUUUUGUCAAUUGACUGACCUGUUAUUUGUCUUAGUCUUCUUCUCAGUUCUCACUUUGAGGCCUUCACACUACAAUACAACAAAAAGAUGGUUGUUAAAACUUGGAUCAAAACUCUCAAAUGAAUUUUUCUAUUCCUAGAAUUUCUGGGCUACUUCUCUCAACACAUUAUUGUACCAGUAGCAUCCUUUAAUUUUCCCUUGAGUUUCUCGUACUUCUAUGUGAUGUGGAAGCCCACCUGCAAAUAGAAAACAAAUUCCCGUUUCAGCUUUUUGGUCUAAUAGUACCAAAAGUGAUGAUGCUUCAAUUCAAUUUCAUUACUGACCUUCCAAAGAUAAUGUUAGGUAGUUUUCUUUUAUCAUUCAUUACGCCAUAUAUAUUACUACAAAUAAAAAUUUUUUUUUUUGAAAGAACUAGAAUCAGACCAUGUUAGUGCAAUGUAAUCCUAGACCUUCAUGGGUGCAAAUAUUGGACAGAACAUCUAUCAUGGGACAUCAAUUUUCUGAUGUAUUUGUUGGGCUCUUCAGUGUUUCAGAUUGGGUUGGACAAGCUAGUGCAGCCAAUUUUGUCUGAAAUGAAUAUGUCUUGCUUGGUUUGGUGCAAAGCCAAAGGUGACUUCAAAGCCGGUCAAACCCAGUUAAAGUUGACAAAAUCAGUUGACGUGGAGUGCAUGGGUUGGACCCAGCACUAUUUCUACCUUAAGACUUGUAUUAAGGUUAGAAAUGAGUUUUUGAUCCUAAUGUUUGAUCUAUGUACUAAAUUGGUUCUAAUCUUUUAAACCAAAAGUAAAUUUAGUUCUCAAAGUUUUUGCAUUUUGUAAUCAUUUAGGACAAUUGAUGGAAAAUCAACCAACGAUUAAUAGUCAAUAUUCAAAUUAUCGUUAUUCAAGAAACUUUACCUUUACAUUUUGGUCCCAAUGAUUAUUUUUAAAUUUGCAUUAUUAUGGUUCCUUAGGUUUUAAAUAAUUAUAAUUAGCGUUUGAAGAUGAAACGAGAUGUAAAUUGAUUAAAUACACAAUAGAUGUGUUGCUAACUCUCUAUAGAAUGUCAUAAAACACAUCAUGUAGGCAAAACAAUGAUGUUUAACCUAAAAUGCAUCUCUUUAUUAAAUAAGUUAAAAUUGGAUAAUAAUACACAUUUGAUAUAUACAACAAAAAGAACAUAGUUUAAUAUAUAUAUCACUUUAUUAGUUACUACUAUACAAAUUCUUGCAUGAUUAAUAGACAUAGGCUGCAAAUGGUUGUAGUUAGGAAUUGUGAUUUGUGACUCUAAAAACUAUUGAAGGUAAUUACUUAGGAAUUUUUGAGAAAAAAAAACCUUCUUUAAUUUUAAUGUUUUUCGACCUGUUAAAUCCAACGUUCCAAUAGUAAUGUUUAUAAGUAUUUAUUUUCCUAUUUUUUUACCAUAAUAAUUUGAUUGAAUGACAAAUAAUUCUAUAAAAUAUCAAUUUUAUCUCAAACUCAAUUGAUAACCUAAUGAAAUUGAAUAUAAAAUAGACGAACAAUCUAAUUUAUAUAUAGUACAUAUUCUUUCAAUUUUAAAGGAUACUUAAUUGAGUGCUUAAUUAUCAAUACAAGUGAAAGAUAAUACAAUUCAUGAUCAAUUAAUUCUUCAUACUGUAAAACAAUACAUACAUAUAUUAUGCUAAAUCUGAGACCAGCUAUACAAGAAGUCUAUGAGAAAUUAGUGGAUGAAUAAUGAAAUAUAAAGUAAAAAAGAAAAGAAAAGAAAAGAAAGAAGUUUACUUAAAUUUUUUUUCCCAUUGACUAAUGGUGCAAAAUGACAUAGAUUGGCACGGCCAACGGCCGCUGAGACACAGGGAGAGGCGGUGGAUCCGUGGAUGUGAAAAAUCUUCAAUGCUCUCUAUGCACUGCUUGACCUUAUUGUCGUGUGAUGUACUAUGACCCAUAACAUAUCACCAAGUAGAAAAUGAUGAGUCAUAGAUUAUUUUUAAUUUUUUUCACAAAGGGCGAAUCCUAAUUUAUGCCAGACUAAUUCCCUGUGAUGAUGCAGAGCCCGCUCCAAAAAUACGUCACACCAUAGCCAGCAGGAGUCGACCUCCUAAUUUUAAGGGUAAACACCUAAGGAAGGCACCAUUCGAACUGUCCGCCAGGAGCGAUAUGUUGUUUUCUAAUUAGUAAACAAAACUAUGUCCAAUCAUCAUAGCCAAUAGUUGAUUUUAGUACGUUACGCGGCAUGCCACGUAGUACAUAUAGAAUGUGUAAUACUUUCUCUUCUCAAGUUUAUUGUCAAAAUAAUCCUUCUUUUGAAACAUAUGCCUAAAGUAACCUAAUUUUAAAUUUUAUUACCAUUAUAAUUCUUUUUUGGCCACAUAGAUUGCAUAUGUGGCAGGAUAGAGAUAGAGGACAUUCCAUUUCUCGUUCCCAACUAAUAUCUUCCAUGAUUCUCUCUUUGAAUCUUCCCAAUUUUUUUCCCUUUCAUUAUUUUUUUUAUUUCAUUAUUUUUCCUUGUCAAAUGUAAUUGUGAGAAACCAAUAUAUAUAUUGACAACAUCUAAAAUUUCAUUAUCAUUCCUGAUAUUGUAUCUGUAGAUGAAAAUAUUCUCCUCAAAUUAAUAAUCUCAAGAUAAAUGAAAAUUAUUCUCUUAUCUUUUCUGUUGUGGCAGUUUUUGGAACAUUCCUAUGGCCUUCAAAAAAAGGGCCAGUUGAUAAAGAGGAAAACGGGCCAGUUGAUCUCUUGGCAGAUUUUCUGAGCGAAUGUGAUUAUCCAACGGUUUGUGGCAGUUUGGCUCAUGCUCGGAGGGGCAGUGCUCUUGUCCGUCAGGCGUUGAAAGAAGUGACAACGAAAACAGCGGUCGGCUUGUGUGGAGAAAAAUCCCACAAAAUGUGAUGGUCCCCGUUCUCAUGGACUACUACAUCUUACAGAUGUAUAUUACUUUAUGUUGAUUCCGAUGCUGCAGUCUUGAAAGCGACAGAUAUUGAGAGCUGCAGAUGGUUAUGCUUGAGAGACUGAUCAUGCAAAGCAGUUUCUCUUUCGGCAUUUUUCAGUAACUUUUCAAGGGAAACUGCUUCUUACCCUCCCCUGUUCUUUCACUAAUAAGUGAUGGAAAGCAAAGAAAUGAUUUUGAAUCAUCAGCAUUCAUCAAAAUUUCCAAUGACAUGUCAAAUACAUCGCGGAUCUUCUGCAUCGUCCAAACGAAAAGGAAUUAUAGCUGGAUUGACUGCAGGAAUUUUCUGUUUGUCAGUAGUAAUCCUUGGCAUCUGCAUUGUGCGUAGGAAGAAGCAAAGUACUGAGGAAGACGUUGACACUUACUGGGAACAGCUAUCGGGAAUGCCCGUGAGAUUUUCUUUUCAGGAGCUACAGGAUGCAACUGGAAAUUUCUCAAAAUUGCUGGGAGAAGGAGGAUUUGGCUCAGUUUUUGAAGGAGUUUUGAAAAAUGAAGAGAAAAUUGCCGUGAAGCAAGUCAACAGUUUAGGGCAAGGGAAGAAGGAGUUCCUGGCUGAAGUCCAGACAAUUGGAAGCAUUCAUCAUAUCAAUCUUGUGAGACUGAUUGGAUUUUGUGUUGAAAACCAUCAUAGACUUUUAGUCUAUGAAUUUAUGAACAGUGGAUCACUUGACAAAUGGAGUUUUAGCAAGGAUUCUGUUCAACUUACUCUUGACUGGCUGACAAGAAGGAAUAUCAUCCGUGAUAUAGCAAAAGGUCUGGCUUACCUUCAUGAAGAAUGCAGACAAAAAUAGUCCAUCUAGAUAUCAAACCUCAGAACAUCCUGUUAGAUGAAAAUUUAUGCACAAAGGUUUCUGAUUUUGGCUUGUCCAAGUCCUUUGAUAAGGAUCAGAAUCAAAUUGUGACUACAUUGAGGGGAACUCCUGGUUAUCUGGCACCAGAAUGGUUAAGCUCAUUUAUCACAGAAAAGGCAGAUGUCUAUAGUUUUGGAAUUGUUGUAAUGGAGACCAUAUGUUUAAGGAAGAAUUUUGCUAUGUCAGAAUCUGAGGAUCGUGUACAUUUGCUUGACCUGUUUAGGAGAAAGGACGAGGAAGAUAGGCUGAUUGAUAUAAUCGAAAGUAAUGAUGAAGAUACUCGACUAAAUAUUUCAGACAUGAUUAGAACGCUGAAGCUUGCACUGUGGUGUUUACGAAGUGAUUUUACCCGGAGGCCAUCUAUGUCUGCUGUAGUUAAGGUCAUAGAGGGUACACUGCACCCUGAAAGUAACUUGGAACAUCAAACCUUGGACUUUAAUCCACUUGCAGCCAUCAGAAGAAAGUUUGAAUUUGAAACAACAGUAUCAGUUUCACCAUCAGUACUAUCAGGACUAAGGUGAACCAAAAAUGUUGCUUCACUCGGUUGCCUUUCUUUUCAUGUUAGUUCAUAAACGUCUAUUUCUUUGUUCUCCUUACCAUGUCAUUGAUGGUUUAUAUUGUGUUAAUUGAGGUAAAGUACAACUUGUCAGAGUAAUGUAAUCACGUACGCAACAAUAUUACAUAUACCUGCAUCAUUUCUUGGCAUGAAUUUAUAUGCAUCAUUCACAAUGGAUGGUAUGUACAGUUCUAUAACUGUGUAACAGGAAAAAAAUAAUGUCUUUCUGGAUUAUGCUUACCACCUACAAAGGAACAUGGAAAGGUUUCCAUUUGUUUCCAUCUUCUUAUGCUUAAUCUUCCUAACGCUCAAAAUUCUUGCCAGUAUUCAUUCUGUCCGUUCGUUCUCAUAUUUCUUUUAGAAUUGUCAUUUGCUUUCAACAUGACCCCAUUAAUAAUACGUAGUUAUUAGUAGGUUUUUCCACAUCUUGUGACCAGCUACGUACAUUAGGGGAUGCUAUAAGAAUACAUUAGUUUUUUGUAUUAGCUCCUUGACAUCAUUAGAUAAGGUGAGUAUAGGACUCCUGUUUAAGCAGUCAGAUUCUGCUAUCAGAAAGUAAAAUCUGAAAACUCCAGUCCUUCUUCAUAGUAAUGAUGGUUGACUUCAGAAACUAAUUUAUACUCGAAAUCUGCAAUAAUCUGUCACAAAACAAUCUCACCGGAAGAAUGCUCGCCAACUUUCUAGGCCUUCCUCGUUUGAAGAGGUGGUGACUAGCGAGUCUUCCUGUAUUUUCAGAUCAUCAAUCUCCUGCUAAUAAUCUCUCCCUAUCUGUAAGGUUUUGCUUCAUUUAUGUUCAUUUUUUAAUAAAUAGAUUCUGAACUACAAUUACAUAGAUAAUACGUUUAACUUCUUUUCACUCCUACAAAUGUAUCACUUGCAAAAAUUUCAUUGAAUGGCUAUGUUCCAUUCAAUAAUUUCGAAAACAGGAACAGACAGAAAGACUUCAAAUAGUGCUUUUCAGAUUCUUAAAUAUUUUCGAUUCAGCUUUCUCAUGGUUCAACCAAAAGCGUCUUCAAUUUAGGUAAACCCCAAACCAAAAAUCCAACAUUAGCAAACUUUUUCUGAGUUUCAGUCGUUUAUUGUUGCAAGUACCUUAGGCAGUCUUAUAUUCUGUCUCAAUUUCACUGAUAGGUUUGUCAGUGAGAAGAUUUUUUCUUGCAACUGAAAACUUUUCAUGAAUACAGCUCUAGGUAGAAAUUAUCGAACUGAUGUUUAUACAAGAAAGAAUAAUAGCACCAUCUUCCUGAAGUAUCAAAAAUUUUGUUUGCUCACCAAGGAUUCUCUGCAAUCAUGAAAGAAAAGGAUUUUUUACUUUAUUUAAUUUCUGCCGGGGGACCGGGGGGGAGGGGAAGUGGAGAAGAGUUAAUUAGCACUACCAGAAUUUCAAAAGGGGGUAGAUGGCCUUCCUUCAGAAAGAAGUAUUCCAUGCAAUUAAUGACUGAACAUGACACAGAAACAAGAAUAAGAACUAUAGAUUAGAAGAGACAAGAUGCAACUUAUUAUUUAUGGAGAUGUAUAUCCUUCCUCUGAGUCUAUGCUAAUUGUCUGAUAUCAAAUUCAUCAGAAACGUUAUCGCAAGUUCUUCACAAUAAGAACCACAGAUAGAAAAUUCAGAUGCCAACAGUAAAAUUGAACAUGAAACAAAUGUCAUAUGCACAUAGAUUGUUGAAGUAAAUAGUAAGAAAAAGAUGCACAACCACUCCAGGGUGAGAUAAUUAGAGUUCUUGUAGCUAAUCAUGACAUUACCAAGUCCAAUACAAAUGAGAUGAAGAAGAAGAGCAGGGAGGAAACAGAAUAGGCAGUCUUAAAUAAAAUGCAAAGAUUUAAAUGACCCUCAUGAUUGUCUUGCCAAACCAGUUUUGGGGAGACGUUCCUCUAUCAUUUUCUUCCUGAAGUCAAGAUCUUCAAAAGUUUCUGAAGUUGCAGUACCUUUCUUUUCUUGGUUUGAACCUGGGCGUUGAGGUCCUGAACAAGGGUAUUGCAGGCGUUGAGGUCCAGCAGCUUCAGAAUGGCUUCUGGAUGAGACUCUUCUAGCUCUUCAUGUCCUCCAUUUUCAUGCUCUGAAUCAUCCUCUAUCAUUUUCUUCCUGAAGUCACGAUUUUCAAAAGUUUCUGAAGUUGCAGUAGCUUUCUUUUCUUGGUUUGAACCUCCUGUGUUAUCAGGGGAGCAGAAAUUUUUUCCUUCUUUUUGGAUUACCAUCACUUCUUCUUGCACUUGUUCGUCCUUGUUAGUAUGUCUAGAACAAUUCCCUUCCGCGACAAGCUCCAAUGAGAUUUCCUCGCUCGUAGAGUUGUCCAACUCUUGAUUCUUAUUGGCUUCAUAUUUACUCAUUUUUCUUUUCUCUAUUAGCUUCUGGAUCUCUUUUAUUUUGUUGAAGUGAUUCCCCAGUUUUUCACUAAGUUUCUCAACUUUAACUUUCAAACCAUGGUGCUCAAUCAUUAGAGUUUCUAGCUGGUCCUCCAAUCUACCCUUCAACAAAUUAUCUGUAGAUCCACAUGAAGACUGGAUCACGGAAUCAUGCUCACACUGUCGGUUCCUUCGCUUUAUAUGCUUGAGCCAAUGCCUCUUUCCUGCUUGAAACCAUGGGUUUUCAUAUUCAUAUUUCUCCGUACAGAUCUUUCUGAACCCCUAUAACAUUUUAAAAAGAAAAUGUUGAACUUUUCAAAUAAACAAAUGUAAAAUCGUUAAGUCAAUUAUAUUAUGAAUUCCAAAUAGAGUUUCACUAUCAAAAUUGCUAUUAGGUAAUAAGCAAGACAAUGCUGUACUUUGACAUAUUAAGACUACCGCAUUGAGCAUUAAACUUGGUAAAGAGAUUAAAUUUAUGUUACUUGUCCAAUUAAUGGUGAGGUGUUUAAACAACAUAAAGAUGAAUUAACAUGAUGUACUCACGUAAUUGUUGAGCUGAGAAACAAAACUUGCGAGAUUGCUAUGCUUAAAGUUCUUGGGAAGGAGCUCUACACUGAACUUGAUAUGGUCCCAAAUUGUGAAACUUCUAUUGUUUGGACUCCAAGAUAUGAUGGAGUUAGUUUCUGGAUCUUCAACCAUGUCGAAUGUCUUCCUCAGAAAAUGAGGUAGAAUUGACCCUGUUCUUGGUCUCCUCGGUAAUUGACCGAUAUCCCUAGUGUUACCACCAUAGCCACUAGCUCCUCCUCCAUCGCCAUUAUCACCGCCAUUAUCACCGCCAGUAUCAUCAAUUGCCUUUCUUUUUUUGCCUUCCAUUUGUAGUUCAAAUGCAACACCGUCUUUAGCCUAAGUGAACCUUCUUGACUUCAAGAGCCUUUAAAAAGAUUAAAAUGCACAAUGACCAUGCAUGCAAUGGAGUGACCAGAUGAGAGAAAUGCUGAAUUUGUAAUCUUGACAAAGUAAUAAUUACUUGAUUUUGCCUAUAUUUGAAGACAAGAUUGUUCAAGUUUUUUCAAGUUAUUGGAUUAGUAUUCAGAUGAUGCCACCUACAUAAAGAGUAACGCUGGUUAUUUUGGUUUGCUCAUUUAGUUGUUGCCUUAACGAGAUUUUGAUCAAUCACCACAAAUUUAAUCAUCCAUUGAGAUUCUUUUCUAGUUGUCCGUGCCAAGGAGACAACGCACAUGCAAUUUGCCUGUAUUCUUCAUGUACAACUAUUACUUUUACAUUUUUUGAUUGUAGAUCCUAACCUUCCAUCUCAAUGAAUAAUAAAUGAAGUUGAGUUUACAUUUUAAAAUACUUGAAGGCUAUCAGAUCAAGGUACAAUAGUUGUCCUUUCUUUGGUUAUUAUUUCAUUUUGAGCAAUUUGAUUGUCGUAUGGGGCAUUUUAAGUUACAAAGCGACAUGUUACAAGAUGGUUGGCUUUGAGAAGCUAGUCAAGUGCAAAAAUUAUGUGGAUGCUUUUUGUUUUGGAUCGAUUGAAAUAACAAAAAAGCAAAAUCUUAAGGACAUUUGAUCAAUUGAAAUAACAAUAAAGUAAAAUCUUAAGGGUAUAUAGCGUUUCCUCUGCUCAUUUAUAGAAUUAAUUUCAUUUUAGCCUUUGAAGCAUACUUAAAAGUUCAAUCUUGCCACUAAAAGUGAUGAACUUUCAAAAUUGUCCUGCACACAAGAAAUCAUCUUCCACUUUGACCUUCUGUCCAAAUUUUGUUUACUAUUUUAUAUCUAGUAGUAACUAAUAAGUGUACUCACAUCGCAAAAAUAAUAAAAAAAGAAAAGGUGUCCUCAAAGGAGUUCACAAAAGCCCUUGGAUGGGGGAGGAAUUAGUUGGAUGAUUUGGAGGAGCGAGUGUAAAUGAUAGGUUUUGGAAUCGAACCCUCCCACUUACACUAUAAAAUAAUGUAAGAAAAACAAAAAAAUUUUUAAAAAAAAACCCUUAAAUAAUGUAAAGAUAAAAUAUUUGGACAUACAUAUCAUUAACAUAAUGAUUCUCAUUCACAAAUGUAAUAUAAUAAAGUCAUGUAAGUUGAAAAUUUCCAUCCCAUAGUGAAUUGAAAAAAAAGAGUUGGUGAAAUUAUUUAAAGGGACUUGGAACUUUUAUAUCUUUUGGGGCUCCAAGAAUUCAAGUCCUUAAAUGCUUUCUCAUUAAAAAAAUGAUAUCUUUAAAACUUUACAUAAAUAAAAAGAGAAAUUAUAAAACACAUAAAUAAAAUAGAUUCCAGUACUCGCUAUAUUUUGGGCCAAGCCCAGAGUUUUGAACUUUGUAUCAGGCCUUCUCCCUCAUCUCAGGGUUAAAUUAAAGGAAAUGUAAGAUUUCACUUGAGCUUCUAGCCCACCUAACCAUCGCAUCGGGAAGAAAGAACUUGUUUGAGAACAUGCCCUUGAGGCGUUACUUCCAUUAGCAUUAUUUUCACUAGUGUUAAGUACACAUUCAAUGUGUGUGCAAUCAAGAAAUAAUUAAAAUGAAUUAAUUUUGUAUAAAUUUUAUUUUUUACUUAUAAAAUAUUUAUAUAAAGUUUUCAAGAAAGAACUUUGGUUUAUAUGAUUGUAGUAAUUUGGUAGAUACAAUACUUAAGGUGGUUAUAUUGGUAAAAUGUGAUUAGGGUAAAAUUAAUUUUUAUAAUUUAAAAUUUGAAAAUUCAAAAGAUAACAAAAAUGUCUAUACCAAUUGCUAUUAUUCAGGCAUUAUAUAUUGUAUAGAUGUUACUUCCAUAAACAUUAUUCACACUAGUGCUAAAGGCACACACGAUAUCUAUGCAAUUUAGAAUUACUUAAAUGUUUUUUGCAAAUUGAUUUUACACAAAAAAUCUCAUUUUAAAGAAAUUUUUAGUGUUUUAACCCUGUUUUUUUCCUAUCAAAUGAUUGUUAUGUUAGUUGUUACAAUACUUUUAGUUAAGUUGUCAACAUGUGUUUAGAAAAUUAAGGUUAAAAAUAGGUAAUGCUGUUAAUCGAGCGGAAUAUUUGGCUGUCGAACUCGACUCGAGCUCGCUCGAUUAGGUGGACGAGCUUUGAAAUGUGUUCGGACUCGACUUGCCAAAUGAGAUAUGUGGCUCGAGCUCGAGCUUGAGCUCGUGCAAAUUGACCCCAAUAAAAAUCUAUAAUUUUCAAUUUUUAUAUUUUUGAAUUGUGAAAUGACGUAUGUACCCUUCCUUAUCAAGCCUAAUCGAGCUACUCGGAUAACAAACGAAUCGAGAUUACUCGGCUUGUUAAUUAAACGAGCAUAUCUCGAGCUCGAACUCGACUCGUUUACCACAAUUAACGAGCCGAGCUCGAGCCUUUCGAGCCUUAUCGAGUUGAGCUCAAUUGAGCUUUUGAGUUGCUCGUUCCAUUUAUAUAGUUCUAAAAAUAGGUAUACAUGGUUAUUUUGAAAAUAUAUGUUUAGAUAGCAAAAUGGCAAGUAAUCUAUACAAGGGUAAAGUUGAGAGUUUAUACAUUAACAAUGAUUGUUUACCCUAAAAUCCCUCUCCUCUUAUAUGUAAUAUAUAGAUACUGUCUCUUUUAUAAAUAAAUAAGAACGAAACCUAUUUACCUAGUGUACUCUCGGUAGCGGCGGCUGCGGGUAACAAAUGGUAGCUUUCUAUUUGUACAGUUGGUUGAAUGCUUCAGUUGAUCUUAGGACUGGAAUCUUGGAUUGCCUGAUUAACCCACAAUUUCCUCUAAUUCUGAGAUUUGCUCAAAUGAAAGUUAUUUUCGUCCAGAAGGUUUUCAAGGAGGUGGCUAUGUUAAUAGUUUCGGUGAGUAUUGGAGAGCAGUUCAACAAAGUGUAAGGAUCCCAAUUCCCAUUGACUUGAAGAGCUAAAACGCGUGUAUCACUUUGAGUAUGUUGGUCUUGAUGUUUCAGCUCAAUGUGAAACUGAGGUGGAGAGCUGCAAAGAAGCAUGCUUGAAAAACCGCUCUCGUGAAGUAGCUCUAGUUCGGUUUUCUAGUGAUUAUCAACAGGUUAUUGAGUCUUUCCAGCUCCAGUUGUGAGUUGUGACACUCAUGUACAUUGAAAGUGGAAGAUAUAAUUUCAUUUGCAUUUAUUAAAGUAUCCAAUGGCAAGUUAAAUGCAACAAUAUCUACUACAUCAACAACAAAAUUUGCUGCACCUGCAAAACCUAUCAGGAGCAUAGUGGGAUCUUCUGCAGGUGUUUUGCUGUAUUAGCAGCAGCAGUUGGUUUGUUGAUUUUAGUUAGAAAGAGAAGAACCCUGAUGAAGGAAGAUUUUGAUGAAAACUUGGAUCAACUUGAUUACCUAUGAGAUUUUCCCAUGAUGAGUUGUAGGUUAUAGCAGAUGAUUUCAGCUGGAAGAUCAGAGGUUUUGGAUCCGUAUAUUGAGGGAUCUCUCAGCAAUGGAAGAAAAUUGUGGUGAAAUAUAUGCCCUGACAGCUUAGGUCAGGGAAAGAAGGAAUUCCUAGCAGAGGUCAAGACCAUAGGAAGCAUUCAUCAAGUCAAUCUGGUUACACUGAUCGGGUUUUGCAUUGAGAAGCAGUGCAGAUAUCUAGUUUACAAGUUAAAGAGCAAUGGAUCUUUAGAUAAAUGGAUCUAUACGAAAAGCCCUGACCAACCCUGUUGGCAAAUGAGAAGAAAGAUCAUACAUGUAUAGCUAAAGGCUUCUUCAUGAAGAAUGCGGAUAGACCAAUGUCGGCUUAGAUAUAUAACCUCAAAAUAUUCUGCUAGAUGCAAACUUUUUUGUGAAGGUUUCUGAUUUUGUCUUGUCUAAGCUGAUUAAUAGAGAUGAGAUCCAAAUUUGACUGCAAAGAGGCACACCUGGAUACAUGGCUCCUGAAAGGUUGAGCUCAUGUAUAACAGAAAAGGCUGAUGUGUACAGGUUUGGAAUUGUGGUGAUGGAAAUUGUCUGUGGAAGGAAAAAUUUGGAUAGGACUGAAUCCAACAAAUUUGUACAUUUGCUCAAUGAUUUCAUGAAAACAAUCUGAGGGGGAUCGAUUGGUUGACAUGAUUUACAGUUACUGCGAUGGUACAAGGAAAAUGUCCCAGAUAUCCUCCACAUGAUGAGGCUUGCAGUAUGGUGCUUACAAAGUGAUUUUACCUUGAGGAGGGCGUCUACGUCGACAGUGAUUAAACUGAUAAAAGGGUAAUGAGGUAUUGAAGCUAGACUGAAAUUAGUGUCCUUCAUUUCACAUAUCUCACAGCAAUCAAACGAGAGCAUGAGUUAAUCACCACAGCACCGGUAUUCCCAUAAACUCUUUCAGGAUGAGGACCAAGGUAGAGUUUACAACAGGAUUUACUGUAACUUUUGCUCUUCUUUAGUAACUUGAAUUCUAUGUGUUGGUGUGUGAUUACUAAUUUCUUGUUAUUCUUAGUCUUUAUUGAUUAAUGUGACAAUGUUUAGUCCUCCUCUGUUUCUUGAAUAACCUACUAUUACUGGAAUUCGUGCAGAAUUUGCAGAGCUUCUUCUAGUUAAGUUACUAAACAAAGUCCUGUUCUCAUGAACCUAAGUGAUAUUAUAAGACCAAAUGCUCUCCAGCAACAUUUUCUAAAUGGGGAAAGUUGGCCUUCAAGAAACCUACUUUGUGGGAUUCUCAUUCAGCUCUUUCUAGAAGCUUUAUCGACUCCAGACAUAGACAAUGAAGAUGAAUAUAAAAAUUACUGUCAGUUUAUCAUAAUACCUUGCUUGUUUCAUCACGUUUCUUAAUCAAAUAUAGCUCAAGAUUAACUGCUCAUAGUAAACCAAAUAGCAUUUUCGUUCUAGAUUUCUGGCGGAUCAGUAGUUUACUUGUUGGAUGAAAGUCUAUAGCACGGCAGAGGCAGUAUUUUACACACAUCCUGGAUUAAAACAUAACCUUCACUUCUUUUUCCAAAAUUUACAGGUAUCUCUACCUUUUGCCUUUCUUUCCAUUUUAAAAUCAGAAGUUGCGCCAUUUGGAUACUCUCUGGGAUCUACAGAGGGGGGUUUGUGUGUAUUUUGCUUGAAUUUUCAAGGAUUUAGGGAAUAAGACCACACUAAUAACUAGAAUGCGGAUUGCUGCUUACUAAAAUCUCCUUAUCUCUUGGUCUAGUUGGAUCAUAAGAAAAUAAAAAAGAAUUAAAACAUGAUGUUUGUGAAGGAGAAAUAAUAAUAUAAUAAAAAGUGGGACAGAGAGUGGCACAAGAUGUGGGACAGAAGAUCCGGUGCGAUGAAAACUGGUAACAUCGUCGGUGAUGUACAGAGCGGGUGAAAAGACUUGAGUUGUAGCUUUACCCCAUGGACUACAAGCUCAAUAGCCAAGUUAAAAUUGGGCUAGGCUCAUUUGACGACAAGAUGAUUUCUUUUUUCCCCUUCUUCAAUUAAGACUAGGGAUGACAAUGGGGCGGGUGCCCGCGCGGCGGCUCUCGGGGCGGGCGGGGGGCGGGGGAGUAUACCCCCGCCUCAUCCCCCGCCCCGCCACCCGCAAAAUAUAUAUAUAUAUAUAAAUAUAUAUAAUUAUAUAUAAUAUGUAAGUUAAUUAGUUAUAAACUUAUGAUAAUGAUAUUAUUAGUUAGAUGUAUUAUAUAAUGUAUAUUAGUUUAUGUAAUAUAAUUGAUAUUAUCAAUUAUAUGAAUAAUUAUACAUGUCUACUAAUAGAAUUUAUUAAUUAGUUAUACUAAAUUUACUAAUACAUUUAUACUAAAUUUCUAAUUACACUUAAUAGAAUAACACUUUUUUCUAAAAAAAAGCACAAACACAAUAAUGAAUUAGUGAUUGCAUUUGUACUAAAAGUGAAAACUUGACUAUUUUAGUUAUAUUUAUUUCAUCAUAUUGGAUUGUAUUCAAAUAACUUCUGUUUGAUUGUUUUUAUGAGUUUCAAUUAUAAAAUUACAAUGAAUAAUAAUUUGGUGAUGUGUUGAUAUUUUAGUACUUGAUUAUUUAUUAAAAUUUAAUUAUAAUAAAAUUAUAUAAUAAAAUUUUAUUAACCCCGCGGGGGAAGCGGGGCAAGGCGGGGCGGGGAGGGGGACGGGGCGGGGACGGGGGAACUAAUAGGCCAACCCCGCCCCCCCAACCGCGUUGCCAUCCCUAAGACAGAAUAUGCAAGAAAUUAUCAACAAGAAGUCCGCAAGACCAGAUUUAACUGAUAGGGACGUUAACUGAGUUUAUUGUAACUCUUCUUCUAAAACAUAUAUCCAAAGUAAUCUAAUUUUAAAAAUUAUUAUCUUUAUGAUUCUUUUUUUGCCACGUAGGUUGCAUAUAUGGCAGAAUAGAAAUAGAGGCACACUCUAUUUUUCUUUUUAUCUAAUAUCUUUCUUGAUUCUCUCUCUGAACUAUUUCCUUUAGUUAUUUUUUUCUUGUCAAAAGUAAUUCUAAAAGGCCAAUAUUUAUAUUAAUAGAAUCUAAAACUUCACUAUCAUUCCUGAUAUUGUAUUUGUGGAUGAAAAUAUUCUUCCCGAAUUGAUAAUCUUAAGGUAAAUGAAGAUUAUUCCCUUAUCUUUUCUAUUGUAUAGUUUUUGAAAUAUUCCUAUAGCUUUCAAAAAAAUUUUGAAUACUAAUUAUUUAAGAAAUGAUUUCUCAUACCGUGUGUUUGAUAAAAUGUCCAAGAGGAAAACUACAUAACAACAUAGAUUCAUGCUCAAUAUGUUUAAUUUCUACCACAUAUACGAGCAUGUUCAUUUGUAGUGCUUCUAUAUCACAUGACCAAAUAAUCUCAUAUACUUAAUAUAUUUUUGCACAUUUAUUCAACAUCAAUUGAUGGUUUGUGUUACUUUUGAGCAACUUGAACAUUAUCUUAAUUGCAUUAGUAGAUUUCUUUUGCAUUGCAUGAAAUUUACUAGUCUCAAUUUCGAUUUAAUCUACUGGUAGUUCUUGUAUCUAGUGUUAUUAUAAAUAACAUGUAAAUGAUGACCUUGCUAAUUAUUGACAAAUACUGGUAGUUCUUGUCUUAGAUAGCAUAACAAUAUUUGCUUAAUUAAUGAUUUUUUUAAUUUUGUGUAGGUGGUGCUGCUGAAUUUUGUAGCAAUGGCUGGUAGAAAUGUUACUAUAUAUUUUUUUUAUUGUAAUGGUAGGAUGACAACUGGCAUCAUGGUCUUAGUUACGAGGGUGUUACUCCAAAAGCCAUUCGAGUAAGUUAUCAGAUGAAAUACCAUGAACUCAUGGACAAGAUAUAUGUUAUCACUAGCUAUGAAAAAUGUCAAGUUGCAAUAAAAAAACUUCUACCUUGUGAUAGCUCUUUGUUUUCCUCAUUCCCUAUAUAUGAUUUGCAGUGAUCAAAUAGAACUUACCCAUUUUGGAGAUAGGAUCAAUGAAGUGCUCGAAUUUAGCAUUAUUAAAUUGCCUGAACAUAGGAUUAGUGGAUUGCCUAAUGACAUUCUUGUAUUCAUUUCCUAUUUGCUAACACUUAAGGAAGUUUCAAGAGUUUGGGUUCAAAUAUUUCAAAUUUGCUUCCAAUUGGCAAUGAUUAUGAGACAUUUAUUGAUUGCAAAUUUAUUGUAAUUAUACCAUGAUAGUUUUUUCAGUUCAGAAUAUCUUGUUUUUUAGUUCUUUGCAUAAGAUAUAGAUGUUGAGAACUUUAUUGCAUUUUUAAAAUUUAAUUAAAAAAAUCUUAUUUUUGUCAUUUUUUCCCUUACAACAUGACUUUUUCCAGUAGUAGGAUGCCAUUUACCUUUUUAUACUACUUGAUUGCUUAUAUAGUAAUUUGGUAGACUUGAAAAUUUCAGUAUGAUUACUUUUUGUAAAAGUUCUUUUCAAGGAGUAGGAAGCAUAACAUAAACAAAUCUGAUAACUUUGAAAUUUUUGUAACUUUUCCUUGUUAUUACUUACAAUUUUCGUUGCAAUUUUUGUAUUUUUCAAAUUUAUUUUUGAAAAAAUAUAUGAAAUCGAUUUGAUACAUUUUUAAAAAAGUGCAGAGACCAAUAAUAGCAAAGUCAAUAAUGGUAGAAUUUAUUUUAAAUAAUUAUAAGGAAAUUAUCAAAGUUACGCAAUCUUCUGUGCUUUUAUAAUAAAAAAUUCAAAUUUUUAGUUCAUGUUGGAAACUAUAGACGAGAUUAAAGCUUUCCUUUCUUGUUAUCCUACAUGGCAAUCAGGGUAAUUAGGUGGAAAAAAUAACAUCAUUAUGGGAAUAAAAUUUGAAAGUGAAUCACAUUGGGAAUAUUUUUUAGAUAGAGUGCUAUUUUGGCAAAAAACUCUUCUCUUCUCAUCGUGGUGAUAGAUGCUCAACGCAGCCAAAAUUGCCGGCCUUACUUUCCCUUCUUAGUACUUCAUGUGGGUUGACUUCCUUUGCAAGGUAUACUUGGGUGGAUUGAUAACAGAGGAAUAGACAUGUUUUGGUCCAGAAUAGGAGUGUAAACGAAUUGAGUCGAGUUGAACUUUGGCCUAAUCAAAUCGAGUCUCUAGUUAAUUUUAUGAAUCUCGAACUUGAACUUGAAUUCGACGAGUUCAAAAUAUCAAACUCGAUCUCGAGCUCGACUCAAAUUCGAGUCCAGCUUAAAAAAUAAAAAAUAAAAAUAAUUAUUUUAUUUUUAAAUUGAAUAAAAUAAUAAUUUUUUAACAAACAAUAAAAUAUUAGGGAUAUAUAUAUAUAUGUAAUUUUACUAUUAAAAGAAAAAUUUUUUAAAAAAAUAUAUAAUCGAGCUCGCGAACCAAUGAGUUUAAUGUUUUUGAGUUAGAGCUCGACUCGAACUCGAUGUUGACCGAGCUUGAGCUGCUCGAGUGGUGAAUAGCCCUACUCUAGAAUGAUUGUGCCACUCACUCUAGCACAAAUGGUAGAAAGUACACAUUUAAUUCUAAAAGAUUUUCUCAGGAAAUAGUUUCUGUCAAGAUUCUAAGAAACUAUUCUCAUAACACACACACACACAUAUUAGGCACUGAUCCUCGCAUUAUUCUCAUAAGUUUCCAGGAAUUCCAAUGACAUGAGAAAUAGUACAGUAUAUAAACAUAGGAGGCGGACACGAGAUCAGGGGAAUGAAUGAAAUUAAGAAAGUUGUUCACAGGGCUGAUCUGACAAAAGUGGAGCCAUCAAUAAUACUAUGAUGGUUGUUGCUCAACAACUUCUCCAGCUCUCUCACAAAUCUGUCCAUUGCAAAGCCCGGCAGGCAAAUAGGAACCACUAUUCCUUUCUCCCCGUUCUUGUUCGUGACAGUUAUGUAAAAGCUCAACAAGCCGGGGAUGGCACCAACCCCGCCCUUGGCCGGGCCUCCGAACUCUGGCCUUCCCCAACCGUAGUCCACCUCAUUGAACCCAAUCCGAGUAACAUCCGACACGACAUAAGUCCUCACCACGGUGAAAUGAGGCCUCCCUUUGAUAACCAUUAAAUCAGCCACCGAUUUCAUGUAAUCUUCAGUCACAUCACCUUUGGCCUUGGUCACCAGCUCCAACGCAUAUCCGAGAGGCCUCUUGCACAGCUCUCCGGCAGUCGUCAGGGCCACCGGAAAUGCAAAGCCAUUGCCAUAGUAUCCUUGUGGCAAGGGAGGAUCGAACUUGGAGCGAGCAUUGACGACGCAGAUCAUGCGGACUUCCUCAUUGGGUUCGGGCUGGAGGGCGAUGGUCCGGCAACGCCAGAGACAGGCCGUCAAAACCUCAAAUGUCGAACACUUGCGACUGAUGUCGAGCGGGAUGGAUUUUCUCAGAGCUGACACCUCCGCCGGGCCGAAGAAGAAAGAGCGGUGGACCAUGUCGUCCAGGGGAAUUAUGGUUCCUUUGGUAUCGGGUACCUCAUCGUAUUCGUGAUGGAUGCACGUCACCCUUGGCGGGUCUCUAGCAUUCAGGAGCUCUCUCUGCCAUACUGGCAGUACAGAUGGGGCGGAAGCUCCCGUACGAUUUCGCCGACUGCAUUCAUGAACUGAACGAUUCCGGCACCGUCGGACAUGGUGUGAUUCAUGCGCAGUGCGAAGAUGAAACCCCCGCAUCUCAAACGAGUCACCUACAACAAUACAAGUACUCAAUUAUGAUCAGUAAGUAGAUAUACAGCAGUACUAGUAGUUGUUUUCAUGCAGUAACUGCGAGUGGAAUUAAUUUAUGAAAUUAGCAGCACACGUGACAAAGCGCAUGCAUAGUUUUGUCCAACAAUUACCCGAUCCUAUUUCACAGAUUAAUUGAUAAUUUCAUAGAUUAAAAACAAUUAUCGACUAAAUAGUCACGAAUUUACUGAUCAUAUUAUUUAGUAGUCAAUUAAUUGAAAAAGCGUAGAGGUAGUUUUAUCCAACAACUACGCAAUCCUAUUUCACACAUUAAUUGUUAAUUUCAUAGAUUAAGAGCAAUUAUCGAUCAAAUGAUCACGGAUUUACUGAUCAUAUUAUUUAGUAGCCAAUUAUUGAUGAAAAAUAAUUUGAUGGUCAAAACAUGAUUCGAUCAAUAAUUUAAUGGCCGUUAAGAUUUUUUACCCUUUAUUAUUUUGCAUCAUAUUAUUCCCAUUAUAUUAGCACUCAAUAAUUGCGAGUGUAAGAACAAAAAAUAUGUAGAGCCCACCACCACGGCCAAAACAGUUGAGUUGGUGGCUCUGGUGGUGGAGAAUGGAACCAAGAAAGGCUAUGUGUGGCAUUCAUCAAUGAAGCUGAGAAUUUCAGAGAGAGUAAAUGGCAUUUCAGACAUAAUAAAGUGGAAGAUGCUGCAAAUAUUUGUAUUUGGGACACAAUCCACUGACGAAAGGGCACUAAUACUACUGCCACAGCUAAUGAUCGGUCAUCCAUUCAUUACCAUAUGCUACCAUACAAGAUUAAUGGUUCUUUUUUCGAAAUGUCUUUUUACCUUCAAACAUUUAAAGAAAAUCAUUUUUUUUAAAAAAAAUACUAUUAAAACAUUGGAUGACCAGACCAGACCAAUGCAAUUGGUCAGAACAGUCAACCCAAGAAAUCGGUUAGACUUAGGGCUGCAAACGAGCCGAGCCGAGUCGAGCUUUGAGCUAAUCGAGCCGAGCCUCGAUUAAAUUUUACCAAGCUCGAGCUCGAGCUCGACGAGCUGGCAAUUUUUGAGCUCAAGCUCGACUCGAAUCAAGUCGAGCCGAGCUCGAGCUCGAGCUCGAAAAAAAUAAAAAAAAAUAUUUUAUUUUUUAAAAAAUAAAUAAAAUAAUUUUUUUUCUGAAUAAAUAAUAAAAUAUUAAGGAUAUAUACGUAAUUUCACUAUGAAAAUAAAUUAAAAUAUAUUUAUAUAUAAUAUAAGUAAUAUUAUUAUUAAAUAAAAAUAAAAAAUAUAUAUAUAUAUACUCCCGCUCGCGAGCGGGCUCGCGAGCUAACGAGCUUAAUAUUCUGAGCUCGAGUUCGAGCUCGAGUUUGACUCGAGCUGGCUCGAGCUCGACUCGAGCUCGAUUAAUCUCGAGCUCGACUCGAGCUUGACUCGAGCCGCUCGCGAGCGGCUCGAUUCGUUUGCAACCCUAGUUAGACUCUUCAAGGGAGGGAAUAUUCUAAAAUUUUUUCAUAAAAAAUCAUAAUCAAAGUCUUAGACUCUUCAUCGUUUUUUUUUUGGGAUUGUGUUUGGUGGUGGUUGGGGUGUGUGCUAAGCUUUCCUAUUCAUAAAGCAUGAGAAGGAAAUUCAACAUUAAAAUUAAAAUUUUGUGUCAUAUUUUUGUUUUUUCAAUUUUAUCCUCACAAAAAGAAAAAUUUACAAAGAUGCCUACUUUAAGUUUAGUAACUCUCUAAAUGUAAAGCAUGAGAAGAGGAUUUGACGUUAAAAUUUUUUGUCAUCUUUUGAUAUUUUUUAUUUCAAUUUUGUUGUCAUAAGAGUAAAAUUUUACUACUAAAGAUAACUGCUUAAAUUCAGUAACUUCUAAUAACUUCUAUUUUAUAUAUAUUUUUUGCCAAAAAAAAUCCAUACGAUUUAAAUAAAAACAACUUCUUAAUUUGUACACUCAAGUAUUCAACUCUAAAUUCACCCCUAAAUCCUUGGAGAAACAACCAAGACGAAAUAGACAGCUCCAGCCUCACCUCAGGGACAAAUCAAGUCAAAAGAGAGAGAGAGAGAGAGAGAGAGAGAGAGAGAUGAAAAAACAGUAAAGUUGGUUUUGGUUGUGUACCUGUAUAAGCAGUACAGGACAGUGAAGGACUCCUGCAGACUCAGGAACAUCAUAGAGGAGCUCCUCCAAGCAGGGGAAUGGAGGCUGAAGUUCAUCCCCAAACUGCUCCAGCGUCACCUCUGCAUCCGCUUCAAUGAACAUAACACCCUCCCCCGUGCAGUCCACCACCAGCUUCCUCCCGGCGCAUUCUCUGAGACGCCCCGCGAAUGGGUAGUAGAACACCAGAGCCUUGGCAAUAGCCUCCCUGAUCACCUUCACGGUGUCUCUCCUGCUAUGAAGAUGAUCAUCAUCGCUGCGGUAAAAUUGGGUGACAGGGACUUGAAAGCGAAGACCCUCUUGAUCGUCGAUGUCAGAGAGGAGCUUGCAUUCCCGAGGAGUGGACUUCGCCGGACGGACCAGCUCAGGCUUUUGUCUGGUCACCCUGAAGGUCAGAGACUUUGAUCCCAUUUUGUUGCCCACAAACAAACUGCUACGCGCGCAGUGAUUUGACCACUGCAGAGGCCCCGUCCUGGGCCUAGACACGUGGCGGCCCAGGGCAAGCCGAGCUGGGCUUGGACCCCGGCCCAUGGACCAGCCUGGGGUGCGCAGCUGCUAGGGCUCCGGAGAGCUAUUCCGCAAAGGGCGGGGAGAAUCCCCCUCAGUGCGGGAUUGAGACUAUGGAGGGCAGGUCCCGAAUCGUACGGAGGUCGGACUCUCUUACAGGUAUAAAUGGUAACGCACGCCCACUGUACAAGGUACGCUCACUAUUGGCAAAUUACUUCCGACUACUUUACUUCCCGUGAACUUCACUCAUUGGAAAACUAACUUGACCGUCGGAGUGCUCUCGGGAACCAUCUCGGGGCCCCCUUGUGAGAUCACCCGCUCGUCUGUUUUGCAGGCUUGGAGCGAGCCCUAUCCGUCAGCACGCCGAGCUCACCAGAACAGCUCGGUCCGGGAAGCUCUGCGCUUCUUCAACCACCACCAACGAAUAUAUUUGUUCAGGCUCAGGUUUAGUAAAUGAAAACACUAGUAAUGAGAAUGCUUUAAUUGUGUGUAUACAAAUAUAGAUAGUCUAACACAGGAGAAGAAAGAAAGAAGAUUUGGUAGUUUUGAGGAUACCUUCCUUCGUUCCCAGCAUGGGAUUUAUACAGUACCACUGAUUGCAACAAUAGUCAUAUCUCGUACGCAAGAGGAGUUGAAGUAAAAACACACCACGUCUAGUGCACUUAAUUGUUUCUACUUGCAUGUACAUUUUCCUCAUCUUUUCCCACUUCUUUUGUCAAUUGACUGACCUGCUAUUUUGGUCUAGCCUUCUUCUCACUUUCAGGCCUUCCCACUGUCGAACAACAAAAAGAUGCUUCUUGUAACUUGGAUCAACACGUAACCGCCAGUCAUUUAAGGUUUGGCGGGUGGAAGGUAAGGGUGCGUAGUGAAUCCACCAAUUGUCACAUUAAGUAAUUUCUUUAAAAAAUUUAGAUGGAUGCGUAGUACAUCUAUUUGGUCUGAUAGUGAUUCACUUCUCACCGAUUUUCCUAGACUUAGUUAAAUUUCCCUUUAGAUUAGAAUAGUGUAGGAUUGACGAUUGACAAAAAAAAAAAGGAACUUGGAUCAACACUUUCAAAUGAAUUUUUCUAUUCCUAAAAUGUCUGGGCAAUUUCUCUCAACACAUUAUAGUACCAGUAGCAUACUUUAAUUUUCCCUUGAGUUUCUCGGUACUCCUAUGUGAUGUGGACUUCCUCCUCCUGCAAAUAGAGAACAAAUUCCGUUUCAGCUUUUAUCAUUCAUUACGCAAUAUAUAUUAGAAUUAAAAUUUUUUUUGAAAGAACUAGAAUCUGAUUAUGUUAGUGCAAAAUAAUCCUAGACCUUCAUGGGUGCAAAUAUAGGACAGAACAUCUAUGCAAGUAAAAAAUUAAUUUUACUCUUUGAUUUAAAAUUUACUAACCAAAAAAUAUUAAUCUAUUUUUACUUCCAACAUAUGCCGGAAGGGCACCAGUGAGAAGCUCAAAAAAUCAAAUUAUCGUUCUAAAGCAAGGAACAGAAACUUAUAUAGUACAUGUUCAGAUUCAUUUAGACACCAGUUAAUUUCUGUCUUCUUCUUUUUUUUUUUACUAUUUUUUUUUCCUCCAAAGCAAUUUGCUCGAGCAACGUAACUAAGUUGACGUCCUCAAAGCAAUUGAUUUUGACGUUUAAAGAAACGUAAAGAUUGAGUACUGUACAAAUGGGCUGCGUGAUACACAUUUUUUUAAAACAAGAAAACGUGGGAAGGAUGGAAAACUACUGGGGAGAGUCCUGAGCUUGAAGAGAAUUGUGAUGAAAAUUGGAGUAGUCAUUGGACCGAAUGUGACGGGUCAUCUGUUUUCUGAUACUUAUUUGCCCUUGUUAAGCAUUGCUCUUUUGUCUCCUUUUUGCAGGUUUAAUUAGUUUUGUACUUAGGUUAUAGAUGUAAAAAAAAAUAAAAUAAAAUCCCACCCAACAAUAUUCUGUUUUCUGUUUUUUUUUUUCUAUUUUAGCUCUUUUGUCACCUCUCAAAUAGCGAGUAUGGUUCGAAGCCUUUUAUUUUUUCAAACUUAGUCAUGGGUCCCCAAAACUUUGACAAAUUGAUGUGCUUACAUGUAUAAUUUUAUUGUUGCAGCAUGUCAGGACAUGAUCAAUGGAAAAUUGGUGAGACCUAGGCGGGCGCAUUGUAACAGCUAUGGUCCUGUAGAUGAAAGACAUUUAGGUUUUUCUUUUGUUGCUUGUUACCCUGCUAUGAUUUGUCCAAGGAUCCUUGCACCGUAAGAUGAAAAUAAUUGCCUAUUGAUUUAUGGAAUAGGCCAUUGUACUACAUUCCAAUAGUAAUGUUUAUAAGUAUUUAUUUUCCUAUUUUUUUACCAUAAUAAUUUUAUUCAAUGACAAAUAAUUCUAUAAAAUAUCAAUUUUAUCUCAAACUCAAUUGAUAACCUAUUGAAAUUGAAAAAAAAUAGACGACCAAUCUAAUUUAUAUAUAGUACAUAUUCUUUCAAUUUUAAAGGGAUACCUAAUUGAGUGCUUAAUUAUCAAUACAAGUGAAAGAUAAUACAAUUCAUGAUUAAUUAAUUCUUCAUACUGCAAAACAAUACAUACAUAUAUUAUGCUAAAUCUGAGACCUGUGAUACCCCGAAUAUUAGGAGGUUGGUUGUAAAGAAGAUAUUAAAGUGCAUUUCUUUGGGUUUGAUUUAAAACCUUAUUUUGUUUUAAAAGACUAGAAACCCUAAAAUUUUAAUCAAAAACCCUAGUUUACUUGUGACUAACCGGUUUUCUUAAAUGUCUCAUAUUUUAAUAAAAACCCUAAUUUUAAUCACUGAAAUUGUAAAACCCUCACGUUUUUCUUAAAAAUUUCCUCUUAUUUGGAAAUUCAUUAUUAUUAAAACCCUACUACCCAAUCGUUCCACAAUAAGUGCAAAUAAACCUAGAAAGUAGGGUUUUAAUCUUCGUUUUCAAGAUUGGAGCAAAUUAGGGUUUUCGCGAUUUUUCGCCGGAUGAUUUUUCGGUACGGAGCAAGGAUCAAAUUUGGUGAUUAAAAGUGACUUUUAGGUGGGAAAUAAUAUGUGAUUAGGGGCAAUGAUAUAAGGUUAGUGAAUAGGAAGUAAAAACCCUAGUACGAGUGUUUUAAAGAAAAACGGCGCGAACCGACGGGUACCGCGCACUACCGAUUGGACGCACCACUUGACCACCACUUUCUUAUCACAUGAGCAUUAAUACUUGAGCAAAAUAUCCCCCCCUCAUUGCCAGCUAGCUUGACCGAAAAUGUGGACCAAAUAGCAAAAGCAAGGAAAAGAAAGAGAAAAAUGAGUGGUGGUAGUGGCGCCACUUGUCGGCCAUCUACGGGCCAUUGACCAAGAUACCUUGUCUACCUUCUUAUCACCUUGGAGACCUCUUUCUUCUUCAUUUUGCUGCUCCGUAGCUGAGACAAGAGAGGGGAAAAACACCAAGAGAGAAUUUCUCCAUUUCUUCUUGAAUCUAACCACAAAGUGAGGAAACCAAGAAAAUAAACCGAUUAAACUCACCUUUGAGUGUUUGUUUAGUGAAGUGUUGGUGAAAUUUUGAAGGGGAAAGCUAGGGUUGCUCUUGGUAGACACUAAGCAAGGUAAGGAUGAUGAUUUUCCCAAUUCUUACUCUCAAUCUUGUUUAAAUUAGCUGAGCAACUCAAAAUUGUGGUGAAUAAUGGUUGUUAUCAUGUCUUGGGUGUUGUUUUCCUUUUGGAUAUAUGUGAGUUAGGGUUUGAGGUACUUGCUGCCUAUACUUGCUAUAUGGAUGAUAUAUGUGGUAUCUAAUAUAUAAGUGGUUUUGGUGAUGAUUAGAGCAAGAAAAUCAAGAAAGGUUGCAUUGAAAACAAAAAAUUCCAGAUUUCUGGAAAAAUUUCCCCUCUUUCUGUCCGUUUUAUUGUAUUAUGUUAGAGGCCGAAUUAGCCUUAGGUUAAAACAUGAAAGUUGUAUAGAAUGGUAUUUUUAGUUUCCUACAAAAUUUCAGCUAAUCGGAGCAACGUAACCUGUGAAAAGACCAAAAUACCCUCGCUGUUCUAGGUUACAUUCCAGAGUUCCGCGUGGACAGUCUAGUCUAUUUGGUUGUGUUUAUUCACUAUAAUCCGUUCAUAUUUAGCCAUUUUACAAAACAUUAAAGUUUUAGUACCCUGUCUUAGCUUUUCAACGCCACCAAGAACGUCUUAAACGGACCUCGGUAGACUGAGAUAUGGUCAUUUGAAUACAGUACGGUUGAUUAGCCGAAUAGUUGGAACCAGGUUAUAUGAAUUGGGAAUUGAUUAGGUUACACUGGAAAUUAGACUAAGUGCUCUUCAUGGAAAUUGUAGGCCUUCGUCUUAGCUUCGAAUUGGUAUAAGUUGCACCUCAAUUCGAUAAGCGUAGCCUCGGAUGUUCCCAUUCCGCAAAAACCGUCAAAACUGUCUUUUGUAAACGCCGUUUCCGCACUCGUUAUUAGCUUGAUUUCUUUUCUUGUAUUGUUUUGAGCCUAUGGAAUGGCUAUUGAAAUGAAAUUGUGUUAUGUGUAACCUUGGGUUUGGUUGAGUAAAAAGAAUGAAGCCAUAAAUGGCUGGAAAAUUAGGUAAACACAAAGGCGUGCUGCCCAAAUUUACGCUCGAGGACUAUAGAAAUACACUUGCGACUUGGGUAGAGUUGAUAUGAAUAUCACUUGAACCAUCUAGGGUACUUGAGUCUUCUUGUUCCGAGGUAUAUAAGUAAGGACUUGGCCGAACUUGUACUCUGAGAAAUGAAAUAAUGAUUGCUCGGAGUAUGUUUUCCUUGUACUUUCGACUCGCAUGGCAUUUUCAAGUAUAAAUGUUACAAAGUUUUAUCGUUUAAAAAGCGAGCAAGUGUUUCACGACUACUCCAAGUGAAUUCCAAUUUCCUGAUUUUUAUUGAACGAAACGUUUAAAUUUCGAAUCUUAGUCAUGUUUCAAAGUUCUCAAAUUGAAUUUUUAUCGCAGAUCUGGACUCCAAACCUGGAGUAUAACUGAACGUGAAUACUAGAAGCACUAUGGCUCCAUUUGGAUUAGCUGUUUUUGGUGAGUGCUUUCAAAUACCGAAUUGCACUAGAUACUUGAACUUGAUACGUGACCAAUAUGAUUACAUGUUAUACGUGAAUUGGUAGGGCAGAGUGUACUUUAUCGCACUUGCCCUUAUGUGAUAUAUACUUGUUUAUUGUUGCAAUUGACUUGAUAUACUUGUUUAUGAUGCGCGCACUUCCUGGAAUUCCAGAAACCCUGCGGCGAGUUACUUAAGUCGAGCCGGCAAAGGCUUGGUCGAUUGGGUAACGAACUCUGGGUCUCUUGUUUUGUCGAGUGGAGUGAUAUCUCUCGACUAAUCGGUAUACUCGAGUAUUACCACCCGUGUUUCUUGAAGAUUUUGGGCCCAGCUGGGGGUUUGAACGGUGGAUGGAGAGUCGUUUAAGUGGUGUUCUACUGGAUUGGUUACUUACUUGAAAGUUGACGGAGUGUCAACUGUUACUUGAUCAAGCUCUGGAGAUGCAAUGGGCAUUUGGCUCCUGAGAGCCUUCUGUAUCCUUAUACUGAAAAUGAUUAUUGCUUAUCAGAUUGUUGUUCCUUUUGAAAACCAAAAGCACUUUAUACUCGUUCAUUUGGAAAUUUGCUACUUGAAGUGUUGGUGUUCCCUUCAUGAACUUGUUAAGCUCGCUAUCUUUUGCUACGUUGAUACGUGUACUUUGAAUAUGAUCAAUUUGUUAUUUGGAACCUCACUGGGCUUUUAGCUCAUUCCACGCUAUUUGUUUUCCUUACAGGGGGUACGAGCAAAGCGUGAGAUGUGUAAAGACUAGCGUAGUCUAAUUGUUUGACUUUUGACUUUUGUCUUGUACUCGCGCUAUUCCUCGAAUAGAAUGUUUUGUAUUUGGAUUGUAUCCGCUUUGAACCAGUUUGGGUAUAUUGAGGUUUUGUACCUUGAUUUUCAUCAAUGUAAAUUCUAAACUUGAAUUGCGAUGUUAAUUAUGGUCCAUGGAUGUAUGCAUGUGAUUCGAGUGAGUGAGUGAGUGAGUCCUGGCGAGAGCUGGGCAGGCGGUCCGCCGAAUCCUUUGGUAAGCCUUAGGGGAGGUGGGGUCGUCACAAGACCAGCUAUACAAGAAGUCUAUGAGAAAUCAGUGGGAUGAAUAAUGAAAUAUAAAGUAAAAAGAAAAGAAAAGAAAGAAGUUUACUUAAAUUUUUUUCCCAUUGACUAAUGGUGCAAAAUAACAUAGAUUGGCAUGGGCUGCCGGCUGCUGAGAUACAGGGAGAGGCGGUGGAUGUGAAAAAUCUUCAACGCUCUCUAUGCACUGCUUGAUCUUAUUGUCGUGUAAUGUACUAUGACCCAUAACAUAUCACAAAGUAGAAAAUGGUGAGUCAUAUAUUAUUUUUAAUUUUUUUUCUGCAAAGGGCGUAUCCUAAUUUAUGCCAGACUAAUUCCCCUGUGAUGAUGCAGAGCCCGCUCCAAAAAUACGUCAUAUGAUAGCCAGCAGGAGUCGACCUCAUAAUUUUAAGGGUAAAGGCCUAACAGAAAUACCAUUUCAACUAUCCGCUGAGAGCAGUAUAUUGUUUUCUAAUUAGUAAACAAAAGAUGUCUAAUCAUCACAGUCAAUAGUUGAUUUUAGUACAUUACGUGGCAUGUCACGUAGUACAUAUAGAAUGUGUAAUACUUUCUCUUCUCAUCGUGGUGAUAGAUGCUCAACGCAGCCCAAAAUUGCUGGCCUUACUUUCCCUUCUUAGUACUUCAUGUGGGUUGAUUCCUUUGCAAGGUAUACUUGGGUGGAUUGAUAAUAGAGGAAUAGGCAUGUUUUGGUCUAGAAUAGGGAUGUAAACGAGUUCAACUUUGACCUAAUCAAGUCGAGUCUCUAGUUAAUUUAUGAAUCUCGAACUCGAACUUGAAUUCGACGAGUUCAAAAUAUCAAGUUUGAUCUUGAGCUCGACUCAAAUUUGAGUCCAACUUAAAAAAUAAAAAAAAUAUUAUUAUUUUAUUUUUCUAAAAUAAAAAUAUACUUAUUUUAUUUUUUAAAAUGAAUAAAAUAAUAAUUUUUUAAAAACAAUAAAAUUAGGAUAUACAUAUGUAAUUUUACUAUUAAAGAAAAAAAUAAAAAAUUUAUAUAUAAUUGAGCUUGCGAACCAACUAGCUUAAUAUUUUUGAGUUCGAGCCUCGAGUCGAGCUCGAUGUUGACCAAGCUUGAUCGACUCGAUUCGUGAGCAGCCCUAGUCUAGAAUGAUUGUGCCACUCACUCUAGCACAAAUGGUAGAAACUACACAUUUAAUUCUAAAAAGAUUUUCUCAGGAAAUAGUUUCUGUCAAGAUUCUAAGAAAACUAUCUCACAGCACACAACACACACACACACACACAUAUUAGGCACUGAUCCUCUCGCAUUAUUCUCAUAACUUUCCAGGAAUUCCAAUGACAUGAGAAAUAGUACAGUAUAUAAACAUAGGAGGCGGACACGAGAUCUGGGGAAUGAAUGAAAUUAAGGAAGUUGUUCACAGGGCUGAUCUGACAAAAGUGGAGCCAUCAAUAAUACUGUGAUGGUUGUUGCUCAACAACUUCUCCAGCUCUCUCACAAAUCUGUCCAUCGCAAAGCCCGGCAGGCAAAUAGGAACCACUAUUCCUUUCUCCCCGUUCUUGUUCGUGACAGUUAUGUAAAAGCUCAACAAGCCGGGGAUGGCACCAACCCCGCCCUUGGCCGGGCCUCCGUACUCUGGCCUUCCCCAACCGAAAUCCACCUCAUUGAACCCAAUCCGAGUAACAUCCGACACGAGGUAGGUCCUCACCACGGUGAAAUGAGGCCUCCCUUUGAUAACCAUUAAAUCAGCCACCGAAUUCAUGUAAUCUUCAGUCACAUCACCUUUGGCCUUGGUCACCAACUCCAACGCAUAUCCGAGAGGCCUCUUGCACAGCUCUCCAGCAGUCGUCAGGGCCGCCGGCAAUGCAAAGCCAUUGCCGUAGUAUCCUUGUGGCAAGGGAGGAUCGAACUUGGAGCGAGCAUUGAUGACGCAGAUCAUGCGGACUUCCUCAUUGGGUUCGGGCUGGAGGGCGAUGGUCCGGCAACGCCAGAGAUAGGCCGUCAAAACCUCAAAUGUCGUACACUUGCGACUGAUGUCGAGCGGGAUGGAUUUUCUCAAAGCUGACACCUCCGCCGGGCCAAAGAAGAAAGAGCGGUGGACCAUGUCGUCCAGGGGAAUUAUGGUUCCUUUGGUAUCGGGUACCUCAUCGUAUUCAUGAUGGAUGCACGCCACCCUUGGUGGGUCUCUAGCGUUCAAGCGCUCUCUCUGCCAUACUGGCAGUACAGAUGGGGUGGAAGCUCCCCGUGCGAUUUCGCCGACUGCAUUCAUGAACUGAACGAGUCCGGUACCGUCUGCCAUGGUGUGAUUCAGGCGCACUGCGAAGAUGAAACCCCCGCAUCUCAAACGAGUCACCUACAAUACAAGUACUCAAUUAUGAUCAGUAAGUAGAUAUACAGCAGUAGUAGUUGUUGUUUUCAUGCAGUAAUUGCGACUGGAAUUAAUUUAUGAAAUUAGCAGUAUACGUGACAAAGCAGUUGACGAGACCAGACCAGACCAAUGCAAUCGAUCAGAACAGUCAACCCAAGAAAUUGGUUAGAUUUUUGAAGGGAGGGUGUCUAAAAUUUUUUCAUAAAAAAUCACAAUCCAAAGUCUUAGACUCUUCAUCGUUUUUUCCUUUUUUUUGGAUUGUGUUUGGUGGUUGGGGGGGUGGGGGUGGGGUUUGUGCUAAGCUUUCCUAUUCAUAAAGCAUGAGAAGGAAAUUCAACAUUAAAAUUAAAAUUUUGUGUCAUAUUUUUGUUUUUUCAAUUUUAUCCUCACAAAAGGAAAAAUUUACAAAGAUGCCUACUUUAAGUUUAGGAACUCUCUGAAUGUAAAGCAUGAGAAGAGGAUUUGACGUCAAAAUUUUUUGUCAUCUUUUGAUAUUUUUUUCAAUUUUAUUGUCAUAAGAGUAAAAUUUUACUACUAAAGAUAACUGCUUAAAUUCAGUAACUUCUAAUAACUUCUAUUUUAUAUAUUUUUUUUCCCAAAAAAAAAUCCGUACGAUUUAAAUAAAAACAACUUCUUAAUUUGUACACUCAAGUAUUCAACUCUAAAUUCACCCCCUAAAUCCUUGGAGAAACAACCAAGACGAAAAUAGACAGCUCCAGCCUCACCUCAGGGACAAAUCAAGUCAAAAAAAAGAGAGAGAGAGAGAGAGAAAAAAACGCAACAGUAAAGUUGGUUUAGACCUGUAUAAGCAGUAAAGGACAGUGAAGGACUCCUGCAGACUCAGGAACAUCAUAGAGGAGCUCCUCCAGGCAGGGGAAUGGAGGCUGAAGUUCUUCCCCAAACUGCUCCAGCGUCACCUCUGCAUCCGCUUCAAUGAACAUGACACCCUCCCCCGUGCAGUCCACCACCAGCUUCCUCCCGGCGCAUUCUCUGAGACGCCCUGCGAAGGGGUAGUAGAACACCAGAGCCUUGGCAAUAGCCUCCCUGAUCACCUUCACGGGGUCUCUCCUGCUAUGAAGAUGAUCGUCAUCGCUGCGGUAAAAUUGGAUGACAGGGACUUGAAAGCGAAGACCCUCUUGAUCGUCGAUGUCAGAGAGGAGCUUGCAUUCCCGAGGAGUGGACUUCGCCGGACGGACCAGCUCAGGCUUUUGUCGGGUCACCCUGAAUGUCAGAGACUUUGAUCCCAUUUUGUUGUCCACAAACAAACUGCUACGCGCACAGUGAUUUGACCACCACCAACACGAAUAUAUUUGCUCAGGCUCAGGCUUAGUAAAUGAAAACACUAGUAAUGAGAAUGCUUUAUUGUGUGUAUACAAAUAUAGAUAGUUUGACACAGGAGAAGAAAGAAAGAAGAUUUGGUAGUUUUGAGGAUGCCUACCUUCCUUCCCACAGCAUGGGAUUUAUACAGUACCACUGAUUGCAACAGUAGCCAUAACUCAUAUGCAAGAGGAGUUGAAGUAAAAACACACCACGUCUAGUGCACUUAAUUGUUUUUGCUUGCAAGUACAUUUUUCUCAUCUUUUCCCACUUCUUUUGUCAAUUGACCGACCUGCUAUUUUGUCUAGCCUUCUUCUCACUUUCAGGCCUUCCCACUAUAAAACAACAAAAAGAUGCUUGUUGUAACUUGGAUCAACAUGUAACCGCCAGCCAUUUAAGGUUUGGCUGGUGGAAGGUAAGGGUUAUUAGUGCAUCCAUCAAUCGUCACAUUAAAUAAUUUCUUUAAAAAAUUUAGAUGAAUGUGUAGUACAUCCGUCUGAUUCGUUGGUGAUUCACUCCUCAUCGACUUUUCUAGACUCAGUUGAAUUUUCCCUUUAGAUUAGAAUGGUGUACGAUUGACGAUUGAUAAAAAAAAAAAAAGGAACUUGGAUCAACACUCUCAAAUGAAUUUUUAUGCCUAAAAUUUCUGGGCUAUUUCUCUCAACACAUUAUUGUACCAGUAGCAUGCUUUAAUUUUCCCUCGAGUUUCUCAGUACUUCUAUGUGAUGUGGACCUCCUCCUCCUGCAAAUAGAAAACAAAUCCCGUUUCAGCUUAUCAUUCAUUACGCAAUAUAUAUUAGAAUUAAAUUUUUUUUUUUGAAGGAACUAGAAUCCGGUUAUGUUAGUGCAAAAUAAUCCUAGACCUUCAUGGGUGCAAAUAUAGGACAGAGCAUCUAUGCAAGUAAAAAAUUAAUAUUACUCUUUGAUUUAAAAUUUACUAAGCAAAAAAUAUUAAUCUAUUUUUACUUCAACAACAUGCCGGAAGGGCACCAGUGAGAAGCUCAAAAAAUCAAAUUAUCGUUCUAAAGCAAGGAACAGAAACUUAUAUGGUACAUGUUCAGAUUCAUUUAGACACCAGUUAAUUUUUGUCUUCUUCUUCUUCUUUUUUUUUUUUUACUAUUUUAUUUUUCCUCCAAAGCAAUUUGCGUUUACUAUUUUAUUUUUCUGUCUUCUUCUUCUUCUUUAUACGUAACUAAGUUGACGACCUCAAAGCAAUUGAUUUUGACGUUUAAAGAAACGUAAAGAUUGAGUACUGUACAAAUGGGCUGCGUGAUACACAUUUUUUUAAAACUAGGAGGGGAUCACCGCGCUAUGCGCGGUGGGUGAAAGCAGUGAUGCCCAGUAAUGCCCAGUUGAAUAAUUAAUUUUGUAAAAUUAGUUAAUUCAAAGAAGAAUCAAUGCAUUAACACUGAUCGUGGGGUAGUGGUUGCUUGGUUCAGCUAAGAAGAAGUGGAAACUACCAGUAAUGUAUUCAAUCUAUAGGUAAAUUACACUGUACGGUUCAGCUAAAUUCAUUAAGCAUCCGAAUAAAUAUUGAAUGUGUGAUACCAAGGAAAAUAUUUUUCAACUCCGGUAUCAUCGAAGAUUAAAACUGUAAAUAUAUUUUCAGAUUCCGGAACAAAGACCAGAGUUUCAUUGUGUUGCAAUUGAUGUUGAAGAACGAAAUCUCUCCAGUUUCGGUGAAGGCGUUUAUGCUUUACACCAAUUUGAGUAGUUUUUUGUCCAGUGUUGAUAAGUAACAUGGGAGUCUUGAUAUCAUUGAUGAAGUGAUCAAUAAAGCGCGGAAUUUGCUAUCAUCAAAAGGUGCAGAUUAGAAGAUAUGCAGAAACAAAAGGAAAUUGCUUGCGAGAAAGUUGAGAUGAAAAAAGAGAAUGCAGGUAAACAUAGAAUAGCUUACCAAGCUGUUUGGAGUUGCGGAGUUAAAGAUUUGAUAAAAGCACACUGAAUCAGAUAGAUCUUGACAGAAAUCUGGUCUUAGUGAGAAAGUAACUUGCUGGUGUGUAGCGGCCAUGUGGAUAUCAUCUGUCAUCAAACGACUGUGUUACAUUAAAAAUAAUACUAUAUAGAUGAGGAUAUGAGAUAGGUACAGCGGUAUUUUGACCUCUUGAUGCAAUGGCAUUCAUGUGCAAUAGAUCUGGUAGGGGGACGGUCCAAGGCAGAAGAACUUGUUUUUGUAGUUCACAAAAGUGAAUAACAUCAAAUAUCAGAUUCCCGCUAUGUCGAAGUAAUAGUGUGUCAUGCCUUUUAACAAUGUUUUGUUCACAAAAAACAUCCCAUCCUUGUGCGAAUCUAUGAUCCGUGACUGUGAUAGGCCAUUGCCGCAGUCCAAACCUUAGAAUAAUUCUAUUGCAGUGGUGUUGAUGGAGUAAUGAUUCAAACUGAGCAGGUAAUACCUUAAAAAAUGAAGCAGUAAAAUAUUGUCAAAGAAUACCAUACUAUUUAACUCUAAAUGCUGCAAUGUAGGUGAACGAGCUAAAGGUUAACCUGUCCUCUGUGGAUGCAUUUGAGCAGAAAACAGCAUGCUGAUAAGCAGCUAUUUGUCGGUUGAAAAUUUGUUGGAGAUUCUAAGAUUGUUUCUGCCAUUGAACUAUCAGAGGAAAUCUGUAAAAUUGGAAAAUCAGAAAAGUGGUCUAUUAAUGAAAAAUGUGAGUUUAAGGCUACAUCAUGUGAUAAGGAUUAGAAAUACACUGUAGAGAAACUCACCUGCUGACAAGUUCUUAUGCAGAAAAAGCGGUAGUGCAAAUGUAUGGCUAAUAGUUGUUAUGGAUGAUCUUGUAAACGGAAAGAGCAUAUAUAUAAAGAAAAGAUCAAUGUAAAAAGAGUAUAUUUUUCAUUGCUUUUAAUGCAAGUGCAAGCUUCUUCCUACCACAAUUGUAAAGAUUUAUUAGUGCAGAAGAAGGUAAGGGACAAUGAAUAGAAAAGACAAUUCAAUGUGAAACAUUAAGUGUGAGUUGUCAACCGGCUGCAUGUAAAGUAAUGCAUUGUAAUGCUUUAAUGGCCUGAAGGCAAGAUCAUAAUUCACCCUAUACUUGCCAUGUUUGUUGUAGUAGGUAGGCUGGCAUAGAAGUAGCAGGACCUGAAUAUAUAAGUUUUAUUUGUAAAAAAUGCUGUCAUUUGUAAUAAAUGAAUAAGUGUGCAUACAAAGCUGGAGGUUCCAAACGGAUAAUAAUAAUUGCAUUGCAGAAAAUAUAUAGAAACGGAAAUGAAUCCCAAAUUAUAUAGAUUAUAAAGCUGCUAGUUCUGCAAAAAGGGAGUUCAUCGUCAGGGAUUAAAAGAUAUCUGUGAAAAUCCUCAUGCUGUCCAAGAUGGAGGAUUUCAGUCAAUCUUUGAAAGCCUGGCAAGAACUUUGAUACAGGUGCUAUUAUCAAAGUUCAUUGAUCAUGACAAAAGCUGGUUAGCAGAUAACCAGGUACAAAAGUGAAGGAAUUGUGAACAGGUGAGCAGCAUUUCCAAAAGUUAUAAACAAUCUGCCUAAGUAUAGAAGUGCAGAUGACAGAAAGCAAAAAAUAUUAAUGUUUGAAGCAGUCCAAAAGGAAACGAGGGCAGUUCAGCCUAAUUUUGCUUUCUUUUUGGAGUUGGCAUCUGAACUUUCAAAGUCAUUGUGUCGACUGUUUCUGCUUCAUCAAACUUCUGACUGAGUCGAAGACGUACUUUUGAGCCUGAACCACCAUCUCCUGUAAGCACAAGGAGUAAUAAGUUAACAGUUCAUCUAAAGAAGACAUGGUUAUGUGUUACAAGUCUAGGUAUAUUUAUCAACCUGUCAUCAGUAAGUGUUCAUUUUCAGUUUGUUGGUGAGCUGAAACCGAGACAGAUUCUGGUUCACCUGUUAACUGAGCAUGACCAAAUUCUGGUUCAACUUCAGAGCAAUAUAGAAUUGUAUAACGCUGUCUAGCAUCAGCGAGCUGUGUUUGGACUGGUUUAAUGUGAACCAAAAAUGUCUUCGUUUUAAGCCGAGCAUGAACAAACUCAAGUGGUAGUUCAAGAUUCUGCAAGAAGUACAGAAGAUAUAAGGGUGACAAGCAAAUAGCGCACUGAAUAUUAAAUUUGAGCAGUUAAAGUAACCUGAUUAAAAUGAUCCAUUGCUUCAAGGGCAGUAAAGGUGAGAAUAUUUUCUGCUAGAUCUCCAAAGAUAGAAGCAGGUAUAACUCCACUGUCGUCGCUCAAAUCAACGUCAAAGCGGCACCUAAAACAUAAGUAUAAAGUGCUUAGGCGAUACUGUAUAAUAUUAACAAUAACAGGAACUCUUUGCAUCUAAAUUAAAGUUAAUGAUGUAGUAAUAUAGGACCUAGGCAUAGCAGGGCCCUUCUCUUUGCAUAAGUUACAAGUAAACUCAAUUCCAUAGUCUGCUGCAGUAGCUCGGCAACACUUUGCACAGCUCAUAUACCAAUAUUUUGGAAGAUAUGUUCAAAAGAGAGCUUUGCCUUCACCCAGGCAGUCUAAAAGAUAGACAAGUAUCAGACGAAAUGCUAGAUAGAUAUGAAACCAUAAAAUUACAUAACAAUUUAUUAUUUAAUCACCUUCUGUGAUGGGAUAACAUUGCAAAUCAGAGUAGUUUUCUGAUCUGGUUUGAAACAAAGCGCAGGAUUGUACUUAAUAUAACUCUUUGCAUCAAUGAUUUCAGCAAUCAACUUAGCAUUUCUCAUUGCCCUACAAAAAAAAAGGACAUGUAAGGAAAAUACUGGGAAAAAAUGAUACAGCUCAUAUAAUGCUGCAUAAAAACAUGUUAGCUGAAGUCAUUGCACCAAUUCUUGAGCUGCCUUGCUUCCUGUAUUGGUGGAUCAACAAGGAGUGCAGAAUCGAACCAAGUAGAGAGAGCAACACCUAAAAAAUAAACAAUAGAAUGAAUAUUAAAUUAUGAUUAAGAAGCUUGACAUACAAAUAAAGGUCAUAAUACAGAAAAAUAGCAGUUCAACAAACCAUUGUAGUUGGUAACUUUCAGCCUUCGACCAAUGAUAACGGGAUAGCUUUGCAUGUUAUUCAACAAAACUUGACCUUCAUUGUUCAGAAAAUCAUCCCAUAGAGAAAGCAGGACAGUUUGGGACCUAACAUUGACAUAAAAUCAGGAUGAAAAUGAUUCAAAGCUAUAGGAAAAACGAGACAGAGACAGUAAAAAGGUUUGUAGCAUGAUAAAAAGACAUUUCGCACUCUUCAUUAAGGAGGACAAAUUUUUGAACAUUUGACUGUUUGGAGUUUUUAGUGAUCGUUUUCUUAGCCAAUGAACUGAUCACUACUCCAAGCACAUCUGCAAAGGGAAAGAAAGCAGGCUGAGAAUAUUUUCAGUUUGUAAUAAAAACAUGAAUGAUAGACUGUUUGCAUACUCACCGACGGACUUGCUUCUAUCAUCAUCCAUGUAUUCAGCUAAAUCAGCAAAUUGAGUAAAACUAAAUUUAACAGGCAUAAUGUCUUCACUGCCAUUGACUUCUUCAAUGACAGUUUUUGAAGUGAUCACCCAUUGUUUGGUUAAUCCAAGAGUCUGAAACUUUGGCGGAAUAGUCCUGACAUCAGCAUUUGAAAUCUUAUAUUUUUUAUAAACUUGCAGCAUAGGACUCAUUCUCGCAAUAUCAGCAUUGAAGAUUAUCCCUUCGACUUUAGAGCUCUAUCAGGAAAAAAAAAUACAUACCAAAUACGAUUAACAAAUAAAUAAAAGAAGAAAUAACUGAUAGUCGUUUCAGGUUCUAGAAUGCAACCUCUGAAUCAUAAAAGACAAACUUUUGCUUCUUGGUUGGUGUUCCCAUAGAAUCUGUCACCUGUUGUUUCUCCUGACUGUGAUGAUACAAGACCAGUUUUUCAUAUCAGGCAUGAUGUCCCCAAUCAGCAAGAGGUUAGACAUUCCUGUAAAAAAGGGAAAAUGAUCAUAAUGUAUAGGUUUGGGUAUAGAUAAGACCUUAACAGUAAGUAAACACAGCUAUAAACUGGUACAAGUAUACCUGAAUAUAAGAACAUUCUACUGCUGGCUCAAUUCAAAAAUUUCAUUGAACACAACAUUUCUAGUUUUGCAGUCUGUUUUUACACACCAUCAAAAGUUCCUGGUACAAUAAGUAUUUUCAGCUCACUUGAAGCUCUAGCUCUGGACAAGGCUACAUAUAGCUGUCCAUGAGAAAAGACAGGUUCCCGCAAGUAAAUCCAACAUAAUCAAGAGUUUGUCCUUGAGAUUUAUUAAUGGUCAAUGCAAAACAAAGUCGGACAGGAAACUGAGUUCUUAUGAAUGCAAUGGAAUUCUUUUGGUUGUCAGAAGUUUGUAAGGGUAUCUUUGGAAUGAGAACUCGCUUUCCUCUAUGCUGGCCGAAGACAAUUUCAGCAGAGAUAGUAUGUCGCCCAAGCUCUCUACAUAUAAGCCUUGUGCCAUUGCAUAGGCCUUCAACAGGAUUUAGAUUCCUUAUUAGUAUAAUCGGGCAGUUUUCUUUUAACAUUAACCUGUGAGGAGGAAGGCCUUUUGGAUUCUGAGAAUUAAGGAAAUCCUCGUAAUCACCCUGGUGUCGCUGAUCAACAGCUUUGUCAGAACUAAUGUAAGUAUGAAGCUCUCCAGGAAACCUCCUAAUCAUUAUAUCAUUUAACUCAUCAACCGAGUUAUUUUUAGGGGUAAGAAUACAUCUAUUAAUCAUGCUAUAUGGAUCCUGGGAAUAGAGAGUUAAAUCUGGAAAUACGGAGCGUAGCAACCUGUUAAUAAAGAAAAUAAAUUAGAACGUGUAUACAUUAAAGAGUAGAUGGAUAAAACAGGCCAAUAAUAAGUCAUUAACCUGUUUAAGGAUUCUUCUUUAUCAUAAUAAGGAAUGACUAAGUCUCUGGACAAAGUUAUUUCGCUGUUCAAGUCCACAGGUUCGCGCCCUUCGCCAACUCUUAACAGGAAUUCAGAAAAUUGAGGAUCUAAUAUAGCUCGCAUGUUUUCUGUUAACUUCAGUUUAUGAAGCUUAUACCACAAUGGAGAAUUGAGAAAGCAAGAUUGCAAAAGGCCUUCCUUUGUUGCUUGUUCAAUAACAGGUAGUGUCUGCCGAAAAUCCCCAAAAUACAAUAACUUUACCUCCAAAAGGCAGUUCAGAUUCCAUUAUGUCUCUAAGCAAAUCAUCAAAUGCCUCAAUGGUUUCUCGUUUUGCCAUGGAAGCUUCAUCCCACAAGAUCAGUUUAGACUCCGACAGCUUUGCAACACUGCCUUGCUUGCUAAGCUGACAGGCUCUGUUCUUUGAGAAAUCGAGAGGUAUCUUAAACCUUGAGUGUGCAGUUCUUCCUCCAGGUAGGAUAGACGCUGCAAUUCCAGAGGUUGCUACUGCAAUGGCUAUAUAACCUUGCGAUCUCAGAGUAGCAAGCAGUGACCGGUAUAAAAAUGUUUUACCGGUACCUCCAGGACCAUCAAUAAAAAAAGAAUGUCCUUGGAAAGCAAAGCAUGCUUCUAGGAUCAUGUUAUAAGCAUACUUUUGCUGUGAAUUUAAUUUUAAAGACAUUAGCAGAUCUUCCGGUGGUAUAUCUAUGUUUCUUUCAGCUUCAAUCUCUUUUGUUAGGUGAACUUGAUCCCACUAACAAGGUCAUCUAAUGGUAACUGAUACGCAGCAAUGCUUGUACCCAUCUGGCGAAGAGAUUUGUUAAUAUCAGCAAGAACUAAUCCCCUAAUUUCAGCAGGAGAGUGGUCAUGAGAUUGGUUGUGCCGCUGAUAAUCUCUAGAAAAGUCCAAUUCAAAUUUUUUCCACAGCAUCGCGGGAUCAGUUGGAGAACAAUAGACCAGGAGAGUAGCAAACAAUAAUCUGAGCGAAGAUGGCAUUUGAAAUGCAGCGGCUUCCUCAAGUGUUUCUUCUAUAUAUGUAUCAGAUUGCAACAACCCAAGCGCUAGAGCAGCCUCUCUAAACGAGUUCAUUUUUUUAUCAUUAACAGUCAAGAGAUAAUCAAAUGAUAUCGGUCCAGGAAUAUGAUUUAAGAGAAGCCUUAGAUAGUACCUCUCUCCUUCUCUUGGAUUAACACUGACAAGUCUACCUAUCACCUUUCGACGCUUCCUUUCCGUCCACUGUUUAUACUUGGAAGACCAAACGAAAUGCUGAGGGAAAUCUUUAUAAAAGCAUUUCAGGUUUUCAGCGGUUGCAUUGGUUGCAUUCAUCUUGAAAAACUCAGUUAGCAUGGUCUUAGAAAAAUCAACUUUUGCUAACAACUGCAACAAAUCUGAGUUUUCGAAAAGAAACAAGCUGCUGAUUUGGAAGGUGAACUUGGAGAGUAUAAACAGAUGGGGUCAUCUCAUUUAAACGGAACUCAUAGAUGCGCCAAAAUGCUUCCGGAGGUGAAAUGUAUCUACCUUUUUGGAACUCUUUAAUCUCGUCAGUAUCAGUAGCACUAUCAUCCGUCAUAAUCCUAAAAGAGACUUGAUCAUGUCCCUUGAACACAUACUUAUACAGGUACUUGACCAGUUUAAUGGUAGAACAAAUCUCCACAUUCAUGUGGCAAUCGAACAAAGCAAGAAGAUAGGGGUUGUAAGGCACAACCCACCUAUUAUCAAGGGUGAAUCUGCGAACUUUCACCUUCUUGCCAUCAUCCCUUCUUCUAUAAUAUGGGUAACUAUCUUCACUGUGGUUGUAUGAGGGCAAAAAUUUUUUGGAUAGUGAUUUUGCAGGAACCGUCUUUCAUACAUGGGCAACUUUUAUCCAUGUCUCCACAAGGACCAUGGAUCAUAUGCUUUACAACAAGAGAGUAGAGGUGAGGAUACUGAAGGCGAUCAGGUAAUUCAGCACAGACUACCUUGUCGUAUGAAUCUGGAUUGAGCAGCUUAAACUGAGGCUUUAAAAUGAGUAACAAAUGAGCAUGUGAAAUCCUCGUUUUUGAAAUUCGAUAACAUAGACGCAUGCUGCCACCUCACCAAAAAUCUGCUUAUUCAAGAGUUCGUGUUUAAGCAUUUCAAAUUUAGCUCUAAAACUCUAGCUAAAAGAUCAGGCCUAUCCUGCGGCUUCUCAUGAUACUUCAGAUUGCAUUGAAUUUCUUUCCAUGCCGGAUUGCAGGUCAUGGUAAGAAAAAUGUCUGAUUUUCCAUAUUUUUGUACAAGUGACAUUGCAUCAAGAUAGCGGCGCCUCAUGUCUCUGGACCACCUAUAAAGGAAGCAGGCAGCACUAUCCUACGACCAACUUUAGAACCUUCAGUUUGGCCUAGAGAGACACUAUCCAAUACCCCUUGAAGAAUUUCUGAUCUGACAACAUUUUGUCGAUGUCUAUGAAAGUCCAGCCUAGAAGUUUCUAUCUUCACAUAGGAAUCAACUGAAAAUUGUUGUAGAAGUCUAAGACAGUGCAGCAACAUCGACUCAUCGCUGUCUCUCAUUUGAAACCUAUAACAAUAAUAUUCUCUUGCUGAUACAGUGUCCUCUUCGUUCUUUCCAUGUUCAACGGCUAUAAAGAAAAGUAAAAAAUAUCAAACUAAUGAUGAAAAGAUUAUGAUGCUCACCCUAACAGCCUCAAAUAGCAAGAAAUAUACUUGCCUCUGCGUUCCAAAUCGAGUAAAUGUGAAGGGCUGUUAACAGAGGAAGGAUCAACAUUUAAAUCAUCCUCACAAGAAUCUGCCUUUCUCUUCCUCUUGCGAAGUUUUUUAACACCAUGGUGCCAUCCACAUUCACCUUGAGGAAAGAGAAUAGGGUACUGCAAAGGAUCAUAGCAGCCAUAGUAAUGCUUAAUUCUAUGGCUGGUAUUAGAGUGGGUAUAAACUUGAAUAUGAAUAUUUCUAUCUGCCGAUUCAUCCUCAUCCUCAGUCCAUAUGGCAGCAACUUGAGAGGCUGUAGGCAGAUUAUAGACUCGCUGGUCCAAACCGGGAUAACAAUUCAAAACAAUUUUAUAGGUGUCAAUGUUCGGAACAUUUCUGAGAUUCUUAAAGAAUUUAGCAUAAGGGUUGUUCGAAAGGAUACGCAUAAGCAAUCUUAAAGUGCUUUCACGCAACUUAUCAGAACUUCCAAUUCUCUUUGCUAAUUCUUCAUCAGAAUCAAAAAAGUAAAACUGAAUUCCAGAAGGUUUUUCAUAUGACUGUACCAAACUAUUAAGGAAAUGGUAGACCUGACCUUGAACACGGAAAGUAUAAACACCUUUCGUGUUCUUGGUCAGUUCAGGUCAUAUUUUGCAGAAAGGAUGUGAAUCCCAAGUUGUUAUUAUAGGUCCGAACAUUGUUUCUGAAAUGAGCACUUUCCUCAUCAUUUUCGAUAAAUAGACGCUUAAGAUCAUAAGGCAUCGAUGGAGCCACGAUAGAAAUAUCUCCUCCAGAGCAACAAAAGUUAGGAGGUUCCAAAUGGAACCUCUUGGCUCCACAGUGCUCACAAUCAGGAGCAUCUGGAAGAGUUAAAGCUUCGUGGGGAUUUCAUUGAUCGAAAAAUUUGCCGCUGCCUCCCUCUUUUAGGUGUAGCUGCAUUUAUUUCGAAACUAUAGCUGAGAAGCAAACUAAGCUGUGCCUCUAUUAGGCUAAUUAGCAAUGGCAUCAAAAUACCCGAAAUAGCUAUUGAAGAAUAAAAUGCCAACCCGGAGUUUGCUUCUUACACGACGACGAGAACAGCGGUUUCGGGUCGAAGGUUGAACUCUAUAUGAGAACCAGAACAGUGGGAAAUUGCUUGCUUUCCUCACAGGAGCAUUUCUUUCAAUAGAAUGGGUAGAUUGUCUCUCCGGAAUAGAGGAGGUUUCUGUAACCGUAUUAAGAAAUAAGCUAACUAAAAGGGGCCAAUGGCAUUUCAGUGAACACAAUCAAUGCAAUCGGAAUUAAAGAAUACUUAGCAGGGUUGUGUUGAGAAUAGCUGAUGUUUAAGAAAUGUACCUUGAGAAGCAGAAGCUGUUUCACAAGUGUGGUUCUCAGAGGGUGGCAUAUUUUUUCCAAAAUGAAAUAUUUGGUGGCUACCAUUGAAGAGAGAUUGCAGUUGACCAGAUUUCAUAUGAACCUUGGGCAAAGAAGAGUAUGCAACAACAUUUUCAAAAAGUUCAGGAGCAAGUAGAGGAUCUUUGCCUAUGCAAGAAGGCUGCAGGAUGUCUCAGAAACUCUAGAAGAGCUGUUGUGCCUAUCAACUGCAGCACAGGAACAAGCAAGCAGGUCUAAUAAUAGAAUCCUGCUCCUUAAAGGAUGCAUCUUUUUGUUGGAGGAAUUGAGCUGUCUCACUUGUAGUUGUGAGAGGAUAAAGCUCUUCAGAGUUCACAGAAACAUGGACCGAAGAACAAUACUCAACUGGAUUUUCAAAAAGAUUGUUCAUAGCAAAUCCUCUUUGUCAAAGUUGAGAGCUUGGAUGACGCUAUCAGAACGAUUAAAGCAAUCGCCUAGUCCAUCAUGCAAUGCUACAGGUAUAGAGUUCCUAAUUUUUCUCCUAGGCAACAGAAAUCAGGCUCAAUAGUGGAAGAAGGAAGGUUAAAAUUUUUUCUUUUUUCUGGAAGGAAUUUUCCUUUGCAGCUCCUAGAUCAGCCUUAACAGUAAGUGGAAACUCUGCAGAUUGCAAAUGAAGAUGGAUUCAUUCGCAAAGAAUCGAAAUGUUGAAUCAGCAACCAGCAGGUAGGGAAGCAAAGACGAUCUAAACACCAAGAACUGGACAGGAAGAAAGCAGCAAAAGAAGGACAUCUCCUACUAUACCUGCAAGAAUACUUGCAUUUGGCAUGUCGUUUGCAGCCUGAGAAGAGGGAGCAGAAUGGACGCGAGGAAUAAAAGGAGCGGAUUCAUGAGAGGACAUAUAUUGUAAUGCCUCAGUAAUGAUAGCAGCAUUGUCAUUACCGCUCUUCAAGGCCUCGGUCCUAAGAUUUCACUAUGCAUAGAAGAGUGAUUCGCACCAUCAAGUUUUUCAUGAUGUGAAUCAGGGAAAGAAACACCCGAUUCCAUAUAACCCAGUGGAACCUUACGAAUACGUGGGAGUAAAUGCGCAUUCUUUUUCUUGGCAGCUCUAUUUUCUUUCCGGCGUGCAGAAGUUGCAUUUUUUUCGAAGGUGGCAUUUCUGCGUAUUUUUUGCGGCGAGUAGCAUUUCCAUCCAUCGUUUUUUAGUAAGAGCAAAAAAUGUCGAAGGACUAUAUAAAGAGAGGAAUGUCUAACUUAGCAAAAAAGAAUGUAAAUCGAAAACUGGCAGAAAGCAGAGCAGGCAAAAAACAAGCGAACACAAAGAGAUGAAGGAGUUAAUAGCGGCAGCCGAGCAAAGAACAAAUGCUUACAUAAAAAAUAAUCAGGCAUGUAAAUAUAGCAGCAGAAACAAUAGAAUAACUCGUAUAUGCAAGAAAAGGAUCACAAAAGGUACAGGAAGUAAAAAAAGUCCCAAAGUUAAAAAAGGAAAAGCUGGAGCAGGCCAUAAGUGCUGAUGCAUCAGAAAAUAUAUCCCAAAGAUGCACAAAUUAAGGACAAAAUAUAGAGAAAAGAGCAAAACGAGAACAAAAUCAGAAGAACUAACCUAUGAACACGAAGAAGCUCAACACCGCAGAAGUGAAUAACAGCAGAAACUAUCAAAGAAAUGGCAAUCAUGUAAGAGGUAAUAAGAAAAGGUGAAAAAAAUGGGAGACAAAAAUAGAAGCUAAUUUGGUGAUAAUAAUUUAGAAGGGGCAGACAAAAAAGGGAAAAAAUAGUUGAACCAGUGCAUUAGAAAGCCGAGAAGCAAGGAAGAAAUAAAAAGCAAAGCAGCCUGAUAGCAAUCUUUGAAAUAUAUAAACAGUUAAAGAACAACAAAUUAAGCCGAACUAUAAAACCAACAUGCUCACCAGGAAGCAAAAACGACAGCAAGAGUGCAAAUUAAAACCAGACUGAUAAAUUAGGGAAAAUGAAGGUUCAAAAUAGACAAAGAAAACGAAGAACAAUCGUAUGAGGUAGUUCCCUCUGCUAACAAAGAAACAAGAGUUUUAGAAUAGAGAAAAGAAUGCAGUGGGUGCACAAUUACCAUUGUCAUGAUGAUGCUCAGUAGAAAAUCCGCCGCGGAAAAGAGAAACUGUAACCAUUGUGCAAAUGCAAAACACCAAACAAUGUCAAUCAAUCUCAGCAAAAGGAGCUGAUGGUAGGCAAUGGCGAAAAGUGACGGUUUUUUAUAGAUUUACAAACAUAACCUCAAGUAAAGGGCAAAAGGCGACAAGGUCCAUGGAGUGGAAUCGUAAAUAUAGCCACAAGGGAUGGGUAAUAUAGAAAAUUAAGGUAGCAAUUAAUCAGGUCAAGUACAGUCACUUGUCGGCAGAAACAGGCUGGUGACAAGUAGUGCCUGAUGAGGAACUCGAGAAAGCUUGCUCUGGAACUAAACAAACAAGAUGCAGGCUUGUUUGUAAAAAUGAGUCAAUCAGAUUAGCAAUAAGGAGUUGGUUACGACAGGAAAAGUAACGAAAGAAAAGAAUAAGACAAGCAUGUUUCUUGGCUAAUAACUACAUAGAAUUGGUAAUUAAAUGCGAUUUUUUUGGGUAACAAAAAUAUUAAUAAUUAAAAAGGCCAGCAAUUAAAUGUGAUUUUUGUAGCAAUAAAACUGCCAAAUCAGAACCGAAUUAAUAAAAGAGUAAUUGAAAAAAACUGAUAAUUAAACUCCAUUUGUUGGGCAACCCAAAACAAAAGAGGACAUUUUCUUAAUGAAAUCUGGAAAAAAGGAAAUUAGAUGUGAUAUUUCUGACAAGAAAAGAAAUGUUGCUAAUAAUUGCAAAAAGUUAUGAAUUAAAUGGCAGUUGUUGGGUAACAAAAAAUGGCGAUAACAAAAAAAUGGUAUUAUUUAUCAGUUAUUAACAAUGUAUUCUAAAAAGUUGGUAAUCAAAUAUGAUUUGUUUGCUAACAAAAAAAAACACAAAUAAAAAUAGAUAAGUAAAUAAUUAUAACAAUUAAUAGCCGGGAAUCAAUAAUUAAGCAUGGUGUGUGGCGUGACCAGGUAAAAUCAAUUGAAGUGUAAAAUUUUCACAAUUGAAGGAUAACAAAAGCAAUAUAAAAAAAUAAUAUAUAAGCAAUUAUUGCAAAAAAAUAAUUAUUAAUAAUUGCAGUUAAUUUGGAAACAAAGGGAAAGUAGUAAUAAUUGUAAAGAACCGGGAUAUAAAGUUUUUUGGCAACACAAUCUAUUGUUGAGAAAGGGAAAAAAUGGCAUCAUUAAUAAGUCAUUAACAAUUAAGAAUAAAUAAUUGGUAAUUAAACGUGAUUUAUUGGUUAAAAAAAGGGAAUCCAAAUAAAAAGAGAUAAAUAAAUAGUUAUAACAAUUAAGAACGGAGAAUCGAUAAUCAAAUGCGGUGCGCGGCGUGGACAAACGAUAAAUGACACCAACGGAAGCGCACCACAUUGCUGAUUGUUUAUGUAAAAUCGAUACCAAAUAAAAUUGUAAUAAAAAUUUGAUAAUAAUAGUCGAAUGCCAUCCCCUCUCAUUCUAAAAAAAAAAAAAGCAUGUGCCAAUAAUUAAUAUAAGCCAAUUACAAGAAAUCGAUAAGUAAUUGCGAUUUAUUUGGAAAGUCCAAAUAUGUUAAUAACUGUAAGAGGGGGAUAGCUAAAUGCGACUUGUUACGUAAUAAGUAAAAAUCGAGUUUAUUAAUCAGUUAACAAACAAUUAAUUGGAAAGAAUUUGAUAAUUAUAUGCGUUUUUUUGAGGAACCACAAAAGGCAUUCUUUAGCUAACAAUUGGGGAAAAUGCUAAUUAGAUAGUUUAAAAAGAGGGAUAAUUCCAAUUCAAUAAGGGAAUUAUUGGAUAAUUCUGCCGGGAUAAUUCUAAACCAACAAGGGAAUGAGAGGGGCUGUAGCAUCCAAAAAAAGGUUAUUAACAAGCACUUCCAUCCAAUUUUAAAAAAAGAAAAGGGGAAAAAAACCAAAGGACGUGGGACCACAAUUUUGCGGCAGGCUCCAAUGUAGACAUCCAAGCAAACAAAGAAAAGAAAGAAACAAUCGGCUGGACGGACCAAUUCACGCGAGCGAAUACACACGAGGCAGACGACCACCAAUCGGCCAAUGGAAGCUCGCCACGUCAGCAAUUAGAACUCGAUUGAAAAGCUCCCCAUUCCCGCAUAGACUAGAUAUGUUGACAAGAAAACGUGGGAAGGUGGUCGGUGAAGGAUGGAAAACUACUGGGCAGAGUCCUGAGCAAAAGCUAUUUGAUUAUUUUUGCAAUAUGGUCAGACAAGGCAAGCACACCCUGAUUUCCGAUUAAUGAGUUCUAUACAGCAGAAGCCAAACUUUUAUAACCAUCUCUUGAAGCAGUUGGCCACCGCAUGUCUUAUCCAACUGGACAAUAUUGAAUUUGGGUUUUAUUUUAUCCCAAAUUCAACACAGUAUGGUAGAUAGAAUAAAACUCAAAUCCAACAGACAACGAGACGUUAUCUUUUUUCGUGGCCAAAAUUUUAUAGAAGUAAUUGUUAAAUCUCAUUCAAGUGGACAAUGAACUAUAACCUAAUUGGUAAAGAUGAUUCAUCGUUAGAUCAUGGAUUCUUUCAAGUUAUUCAUUCAAAUGGACAAUAAAAAAUAACCUAAUUGAUUACAUGAGAAUUCAAGUCAUCAGAGGGAAAAAGUAAAAAAAAUACUAUUGAUACUCUUUCCUUCCUUUUUUUUUUCCCAAACAUAUAUAGACCAAGAGCUUAGAAGGUGUGUGCUUUUGCUGACGUGUUGAUUGGUAAUUUGCUAAAAGGUUUUCGUCCUCCAUGCGCCGUUCACGUGACCCAGCACUAUUUCUACCUUAAGAUUUGUAUUAAGGUAGAAAUGAGUUUUUGAUCCCUAAUGUUUGAUCUAUGUUCUAAAUUUGUUUCUAAUCUUUUAACCAAAGUAAAUUUAGUUCUCAAAGUUUUGCAUUUUUUAAUCAUUUAGGUCAAUUGAUGGAAAAUCAACAACGAUUAAUAGUCAAUAUCAAAUUAUCGUUAUUCAAGAACUUUACCUUUACAUUUUGGUCCCAAUGUUUUAAAUUUGUAUUAUUAUGGUUCCUUAGGUUUUAAAUAAUUAUAAUUAGCGUUUGAAGAUGAAACGAGAUGUAAAUUGAUUAAAUAUAUAAUACAUGUGUUGCUAACUCUCUAUAGAAUGUCAUAAAACACAUCAUGUAGGCAAAACAAUGAUGUUUAACCUAAAAUGCAUCUCUUUAUUAAAUAAGUUAAAAUUGGAUAAUAAUACACAUUUGAUAUAUACAACAAAAAGAACAUAGUUUAAUAUAUAUCACUUUAUUAGUUACUACUAUACAAAUUCUUGCAUGAUUAAUAGACUAGGCUGCAAAUGGUUGUAGUUAGAAAUUGUGAUUUGUGACUCUAAAAACUAUUGAAGGUAAUUACUUAGGAAUUUUUGAGAAAAAAAAACCUUCUUUAUUUUUAUUGUUUUUCGACCCAUUAAAUCCAACGUUCCAAUAGUAAUGUUUAUAAGUAUUUAUUUUCCUAUUUUUUACCAUAAUAAUUUUAUUCAAUGACAAAUAAUUCUAUAAAAUAUCAAUUUUAUCUCAAACUCAAUUGAUAACCUAUUGAAAUUGAAAAUAAAAUAGAUGAACAAUCUAAUUUAUAGAUAGUACAUAUUCUUUCAAUUUUAAAGGGAUACUUAAUUGAGUGCUUAAUUAUCAAUACAAGUGAAAGAUAAUACAAUUCAUGAUCAAUUAAUUCUUCAUACUGCAAAACAAUACAUACAUAUAUUAUGCUAAAUCUGAGACCAGCUAUACAAGAAGUCUAUGAGAAAUUAGUGGGAUGAAUAAUGAAAUAUAAAGUAAAAAAGAAUAGAAAAGAAAAGAAAAGAAAGAAGUUUACUUAAAAAAUUUUUUUCCCAUUGACUAAUGGUGCAAAAUGACAUAGGUUGUCACGGGCUGCCGGCUGCUGAGAUACAAGGAGAGGCGGUGGAUGUAAAAAAUCUUCAAUGCUCUCUAUGCACUGCUUGACAUUAUUGUCGUGUGAUGUACUAUGACCCAUAACAUAUCACCAAGUAGAAAAUGGUGAGUCAUAUAUUAUUUUCUAAUUUUUUUCUCACAAAGGGUGUAUCCUAAUUUAUGCCAGACUAAUUCUCCUGUGAUGAUGCAGAGCCUGCUCCAAAAAUGCAUCACACGAUAGCCAGCAGGAGUCUACCUCAUAAUUUUAAGGGCAAAGACCUAAGGGAUGCACCAUUCGAAUUGCCCGCCGGGAGCUAUAUAUUGUUUUCUAAUUAGUAAACAAAAUAUGUCCAAUCAUCAUAGUCAAUGGUUGAUUUUAGUACGUUACGCGGCAUGUCAUGUUGUGCAUAUAGAAUGUGUAAUACUUUCUCUUCUCAUCGUGGUGAUAGAUUCUCUAUGUAGCCAAAAUUGCCUACCUUACUUUCCCUUCUUAGUACUUCAUGUGGGUUGACUUCCUUCUGCAAGGUAUACUUGGGUGGAUUGAUAAUAGAGGAAUAGACAUGUUUUGGUCUUUUUUUUUGGUAAAUAAAGAUGCAUUAAAGUAAAAGUCAAGUCUACAGAGUGGAAAUUAAAGUACAAUCAUCCGUGGUGUAGUAACACCCUUUAAGUCUUGCAAAAGUAAGGGAAGGACAAAAUUAGGACAUAAUUCAAAAAAAGUGAAGUCUUGAGUGCUGCUUUUUCCCUAGUUUGCUAGGAUGUCUGCACAUUUGUUUGCUUCGCGAUAGUUAUGGUAGAAACAUAUUUGCUGGAAUGUAGUCAACAACUCCCUGCAGUCAACAAUAAUAGGCAAAAGUUCAUGAGAAAUGAGAUUAUUUGACUUACACAAGGAGAUGACACUAGAAGAGUCCAUCUCCACUUCGAGAGAGUGGAUGUUGAGGUUUUUUGCAAGUUGUAAACCAUCUCUAAGAGCCCAGCAUUCUGCGAAAGGAACGGAACAGGAGCCUAAAUUUCUUGCAAAACCAGCAAUCCAUAACCCAUUUGAGUCACGAAUUAUGCCACCAGCUCCUGCCUGGUUUAAUGAUCCAGAGACCGAACCGUCAGUGUUGAGUUAGGCAAAACCUAUAGCCGGGGGGAUCCAUCUAAUGAAUUUUUCCUAUCUAGGGGAUCUGGUGAUAUGAGAACCAGGUCCUAAUAGGAAAAAUUCAUGGGCAUGGUGAAGGCAAAACUUGAUAGGAUCAAGAGCAGUUUUUUGAAAGAUCUUAGCAUUGCGAGCUUGCCAAAGGCUCCAACAACCAAAGCUAAAGAUGGUUCCCCAGGGAAUAAGGUUAAAAGUGAAAGGAGCAUCCAUCCUUGAUCCAAGAAUAAAAAUCCGAGUUGGUUUGGGGACAGAUUUGAGAGCUUUGGGUAAGUUUAAGCCAAAAGGUGGUUGCUUGCUGACAAAGCCUUAGUACGUGGUCCGAAUCCUCAGAAGGAGCUGCACAAAAAGGGCAAAGGGCUUCGGAUAGAAUUGUACGAUGGGUGAGAAGACUUUUUGUCGGAAGUCUAUCCUCGGCGGCUAGCCAAAGAAAAUGCUUGACUUUUGAAGAGGUAUUAACAUUCCAGAUCCAGCGGAAGAGGGAUGGAGCUCUAAUAUCUACCUGACAUAAGGAAGGAUUUUUGCACAAAUUGAAGGUGAUUUAGAGUUGAAAACCCCAUUGUUGGAGUGAUUCCACCUAAGGAAGUCAUGAGAUGGAAUGAGUUCUUGUCUUGGUGUACCUUUGAUUUCCUUCAACAGCUGAAGGGAAAGCUGGAAGGAGAUUCUAUCUAGGUUCCAGCUGGUAGGGGAGUGAAAGAGUUGAAAGACUCUUAAGUCCUCUUCCCCCUAAGUUAGAGGCGCUUGGAUUUGGCUUCUGAUAGAACCGGAAUGUAGCCAUUUAUUUCCCCAGAAUCUGACUAUAUGCCCAUCUCUGAUAGACCAAAUUAUACCUUCGUUGAAGGUUUUGAUCCCAAUGUUUAGGCUUUUUUUUAUUUAUGGAGCCAUUUACAUUUUUGAGAUGGAGCAUAUGGGUGUUAAUGGAAUUAUAUUUAUCCACGUAAUAGUGCCUGAGGAUUUUCACCCAAGGUUUGUUACUCUCUUGGGUGAUAUUCCAACAGAGUUUGACUUUUGCAGCCUUGUUAAGCAAGGCAGUCUGUUUGAGUCCAAGUCCCCCGAGGUGUUUGUCUUUGGUGAUAUUACCCCAGCUAACCAAAUGAAUUUUUUGUUUAUCUUCUGAAGAACCCCAGAGGAAUCUUCUCUACUCUUUGUCAAUCUCAUGACAGAUUUUUUGUGGUAGAGGAAGACAUUGAGUGUAAUAAGCUGGGAUAGCAGAGAUGGAUUGUUGAGCAAUGGUUUUCCUGCCUGCUAGGGACAAGAGUUUGGAUUUCCAGCCUUGAAGUUUAUUUUUGACUUUGUCAAGAAUAAAAGAGUAGUUUCUCAUCGAAAGCCUGGAGAUGGUGAGGGGGAUACCCAAAUAAGCACCAAGGUGAUAUGAUGUUAAUUGUUAGCAAUUUUAUGGUUAAUUUCCCUCUUUGUUCUUGCCAAAUAUUGUUUUAAUUAUUAACAUAUACUUAUAUUUGGUAUUUGGCCCUAAUUACAGGAAGUGGAGCAAACAAGUGCUUAAAAGGAGACUUUCUUGAGACAAAUACUCCACAAAUGGGAUGUUUCUAAAAGCUCUACAAACCGGGCUCUACAUUGGACCACAAGCAGAUGGUCUUUCCUUUUGCUGAUUGGUAGUUAACUAGUAAUAGGUAGUUGGCUUGUACUAGGAAUACUACUAGAACUAGGAAACGUAAAAGAAGGAACAUUAAGUAGUGGUUUUAUUUUUGUUUUCUGCAGAAUUGGAGGAAGAACAGCCGCAUACUCACUUUCCUUUGUCCCUUCUAGUUUUCUUGGGUAUUCUCGACUGGAGACAAUGGGAGUUUUUCUUCUUGAUUAUUUGAACAAGCAAAUGCCUUUGAAUUAAUGGAAUCGCAUGGAAAUAUUCUCAUGAGGCGUGGCUAAGCUUCCCAUCUAGUCAAGGACCAACGUGACGACGCAGUACCGAACAUCUGUGAGAUCGAAUUAGUUUUCAUGUGUUCCUUAAUUUGUUAAUAUUUGCACGCAGUCUACUUGAAUUUUCAUGGGAUUAUUUGGUUAAUUGGAUGUCAAGGGCCCGAUGUUCAAUGUGACUUAUUAAUCUCUUGCUAAAGUAAUCAAUUAAAUCCGUAAUUGUUUAAUCGAUUAAUAUCAGUGGCAACUAGCAUUUCUACACACUAGGGGAACGUGCAUUCUGAUUUAAAUAACCCUCGUAGCGUGUUAUUAAUUGGGGUUAGGUUUUUCUAGUUCUUAAUGCAAUUGAAAAAUUAAUUUCUACGGUCGUACCUAGGGGUAUUUCCUGGUUAGGGGUAAUCAAUGGUCGUACCUUGGUUAUCAAUAAAUUAAGGAAAAGCUGGUCGUCAGAGUGUCUCGGUGACUAUAAUUAACCUGUUAAUAAAAUUAAGUGAACCUUCUUUGCAUCAAUGAUCGGAUGUAUGAACUAUGUCUGAAUAGUUGUAUCCUUGGCUAGAGUUUGUCUAUUAUUUAUUUAAUUCCUGUCUAUAUUCAUGUUAGUUAAUCGUUUACUUUUGGUUGAAUUGCUUAAUUGUUUUUAGUUUCAUUUAGAUAAAACUCCACCGUGUCCCGAACUUGAAAAGAAAUGAAUUACCCCUAGUCUCUGUGGAUUCGACCCUACUCACCGCUAUAUACAAAUUUGUAUUUUCUUGAGUAGGUAAUUAUUAUUGCACAGGUUUGGCACCUGUCACAAGGUCUUCAGUGGUGUUGAUGUUGAGCAUCUGAGAAAGGAGUGUUUUUUGCGUAGAAGGGGUAUUGAGGGAGAAAAGGACUUUUGAUUUCUCAAAGUUAACGAUAAGUCUAGAUUUGAGGCAAAAAUCAUUUAAGGUAGUUGUUACUGCCUAAAUGGAGGAAGAUUCAGCAGUGCUGAAGAAAAUUACAUCAUCUGCAUAAAAACAGUGGGAGAAGGUGGGGCCCUGUCUACCAAAUUUAAUUGGUUUCCACAGCUUUUCUUCACAUAGGAGUUCUAUUUUUUGAGAUAGGUACUCCAUGCAGCGAAUGAAAAGGUAUGGGGAGAUAGGAUCUCCCUGUCUAAUACCUCUAGAUGGGGUAAAAAAUUCUGUGAUUUGGCUAUUUAUGAUUAGGCCCAUCCUAGAAGAAGAGAUGCAUUGCAAGAUAAGAUUGAUGAAAAUAGAAGGGAGCUGGAAAUGGUAAAGGGCUUCCCUAAUAAAACCCAAUUCCAAUUUGUCAAAAGCCUUUUUAAGGUCGAGCUUGAUUGCACAAAGGCCAGUUUUCCCACUUUUUUUUUUCAAUCUAAAAAGAGCUUCUUGCACAAGCAGAAUAUUGUCUGAACAGCUUCUGUUAAGAAGGAAACUUGCUUGUGGCGGAGAGAUGAUAUCAGAGAGGAUAGGUCUUAGUCGGUUGACUAAGAUUUUUGCUAGUACCUUAUAGGCAGAGUUAAUUAAGCCUAUGGGUCUUAAAUGUUUCGGGGUUUCUGGGUCUUCCACUUUCGGAUAAGACAGAGGAGAGUAUCAUUGACACCAUGAGGGAAAGGUUUGAGCUCAAAGCAAUCAGAGAUCAGUUUAACGAGGGAAGGUGAGGUUUUAUCCAAAAUUUUUGAAAGAAAUAGGGGUGUAGCCCAUCUGGUCUCGGGGAUUUGAAAGGUUUAAGUUCAAAGAGGGCUUUUUUUAUUUCUUGAGGAGUAGGCUUAAGUGCAAGAGAUCUUAGGGGCUCAAGCUUUUGGUUUGCAAGGGGUAUGGGAAAAGGCUCAGGUUCUAGGUAAUUUGAGGUAAAGUCUGUGGUGAAGAGAUUGGCAAAGUAGGAUUUAAAGAUGUGUUUGAUAAGAGAAGGAUCAGUGACCCAAUUACCAAGUUCAUCUUUAAGAUAGGAGAUUUUGUUUUCUUUUCUCCUACACACAGCAGUGGUUUGAAGGAAUUUGGAACUGAGGUUGUCCCAGCAGAGACAGUCCAUUCUAGAUUUCAUUGCCUAAAGAUCUUUUUCUUGAUUCAGGACAUGAUUAUAUUCAGCUUGAAGAGAAAUUUCCAGCUGGUCCAGAAAGGUUGAGUGAUGAUUUUGAAGCGAUGAUUGAAUUCCCUUUAGCCCGUUGAGAAUUUUCCUUAUUUUCUUGAAUAUGUUCUCAAAGGUCUCAGAACUCCAAGAAGACACCAACUCAGAAAACUUGUUUAGUGGUAUCACGGAAGGGUUUGUUAGGGUUAUUCCAGACUCGAUCAACCAGGGAGGCAAAAGAAGGGUGUUUAAGCCAGAAUCUUUCAAGUCUAAAGAUUUUUGGAGAAGGGCAAGAGUGUUGGGGUUUGAGGUUAACUAGGAUAGGGUAGUGAUCAGAUCUAGUACGAAGGAGGUGCAGCACAUUGGCGUUAUCAUAAAGAAUGUACCACGAGUGAUUGCAAAAAGCUUUAUCAAGUCUUUCGUGGACGAUUUUUCCAUUGAUUCUUUUUCCAGUCCAAGUGAACUUUAGGCCGGAGAAACCCAUGUCCAUGAGUCCACAAUAGUCUAAACAAUUGUGUCGAGUUGAAUCGAGUUGAACUUGUGUCUAAACAAUAGUCUAAACAAUAGUGUUUAAAAGUUUAGACAAUUGCGUCUAAACAAUAGUCUAAACACAUGUAAACGAGUUGAGUCGAGUUGAACUUUGGCCUAAUCAAGCCGAGUCUCUAGUUAAUUUUAUGAUUCUUGAAUUCGAACUCGAACUCGAAUUCGACGAGUUCAAAAUAUCAACCUCAUUCUCGAGCUCGACUCAAAUUCGAGUCGAGCUUAAAAAAUAAAAAAAAAUUAUUAUUUUAUUUUUAAAAAAUAAAAUAUACUUAUUUUAUUUUUUAAAAUGAAUAAAAUAAUAAUUUUUUAAAAACAAUAAAAUAGUAGGGCUAUACAUAUGUAAUUUUACUAUUAAAAGAAAAAAUAAAAAAUUUAUAUAUAAUUGAGCUUGCGAACCAACUAGCUUAAUAUUUUUGAGUUCGAUCUCGACUCGAGCUCGAUGUUGACCGAGCUUGAUCGGUUCGAUUCGUAAGCAGCCCUAGUCUGUAAUGAUUGUGCCACUCACUCUAGCACAAAUGGUAGAAACUACACAUUUAAUUCUAAAAGAUUUUCUCAGGAAAUAGUUUCUGUCAAGAUUCUAAGAAACUAUUCUCACAACACACACACACACACACACACACACAUAUUAGGCACUGAUCCUCUCGCAUUAUUCUCAUAACUUUCCAGGAAUUCCAAUGACAAAAGAAAUAGUACAGUAUAUAAAGAUAGGAGGCGGACACGAGAUCAGGGGAAUGAAUGAAAUUAAGAAAGUUGUUCACAGGGCUGAUCUGACAAAAGUGGAGCCAUCAAUAAUACUGUGAUGGUUGUUGCUCAACAACUUCUCUAGCUCUCUCACAAAUCUGUCCAUCGCAAAGCCCGGGAGGCAAAUAGGAACCACUCUUCCUUUCUCCCCGUUCUUGUUCGUGACAGGUAUGUAAAAGCUCGCCACGCCGGGGAUGGCACUAACCCCGCCCUUGGCCGGGCCUCCGAACUCUGGCCUUCCCCAACCAAAGUCCACCUCAUUGAACCCAAUCCGAGUAACAUCCGACACGAGAUAAGUCCUCACCACGGUGAAAUGAGGCCUCCCUUUGAUAACCAUUAAAUCAGCCACCGAUUUCAUGUAAUCUUCAGUCACAUCACCUUUGGCCUUGGUCACCAGCUCCAACGCAUAUCUGAGAGGCCUCUUGCACAGCUCUCCGGCAGUCGUCAGGGCCACCGGAAAUCCAAAGGCAUUGCCGUAGUAUCCUUGUGGCAAGGGUGGAUCGAACUUGGAGCGAGCAUUGACGACGUAGAUCACGCGGACUUCCUCAUUGGGUUCGGGCUGGAGGGCGAUGGUUCGGCAAAGCCAGAGACAGGCUGUCAAAACCUCAAAUGUCGAACACUUGCGACUGAUGUCGAGCGGAUGGAUUUUCUCAAAGCUGACACCUCCGCCGGGCCAAAGAAGAAAGAGCGGUGGACCAUGUCGUCCAGGGGAAUUAUGGUUCCUUUGGUAUCGGGUACCUCAUCGUAUGCAUGAUGGAUGCACGUCACCCUUGGCGGGUCUCUGGCGUUCAGGCGCUCUCUCUGCCAUACUGGCAGUACAGAUGGGGCGGAAGCUCCCCGUGCGAUUUCGCCGACUGCAUUCAUGAACUGAACGAGUCCGGUAACGUCGGCCAUGGUGUGAUUCAGGCGCACUGCGAAGAUGAAACCCCCGCAUCUCAAACGAGUCACCUACAAUACAAGUACUCAAUUAUGAUCAGUAAGUAGAUAUACAGCAGUACUAGUAGUUGUUUUCAUGCAGUAAUUGCGACUGGAAUUAAUUUAUGAAAUUAGCAGUACACGUGACAAAGCAGUUAAUCAGACCAGACCAAUGCAAUCGAUCAGAACAGUCAACCCAAGAAAUUUGUCAUCUUUUGAUAUUUUUUCAAUUUUAUUGUCAUAAGAGUAAAAUUUUACUACUAAAGAUAACUGCCUAAAUUCAGUAACUUCUAUUUUAUAUAUUUUUUUUUGCCAAAAAAAAAUUCAUACGAUUUAAAUAAAAACAACUUCUUAAUUUGUACACUCAAGUAUUCAACUCUAAAUUCACCCCCUAAAUCCUUGGAGAAACAACCAAGACGAAAAUAGACAGCUCCAGCCUCACCUCAGGGACAAAUCAAGUCAAAAAGAGAGAGAAGAGAGAGAGAGAGAGAUAAAAAACGCAACAGUAAAGUUGGUUUAGACCUGUAUAAGCAGUAAAGGACAGUGAAGGACUCCUGCAGACUCAGGAACAUCAUAGAGGAGCUCCUCCAGGCAGGGGAAUGGAGGCUGAAGUUCUUCCCCAAACUGCUCCAGCGUCACCUCUGCAUCCGCUUCAAUGAACAUGACACCCUCCCCCGUGCAGUCCACCACCAGCUUCCUCCCGGCGCAUUCUCUGAGACGCCCCGCGAAGGGUAGUAGAACACCAGAGCCUUGGCAAUAGCCUCCCUGAUCACCUUCACGGGGUCUCU